rnacentral:lncRNA from 1 species
GGGGGGGGGGGUAUAGGAUGUGAAGCAGGGGGGGCGGACUGCUGUUUCUAGCCUAGCUGGACGCUCUGAUUCAUAUUUGUACAUUGGUACAUGGUCGUGUUUGUGUUGUAUUUGUACCAUUUUGGACGAUAGCUUGUUCUUCACUUCCUUUUUUUCCGUUUCCACCGUGAAUUGAUCAAUGAUAGUACUAUUUUGCUGAUUCCUGAACAUUGCUCUGAGAUGGGCAUCGCCUUGAUGCGUCGUUUCACGGUUUCAGACGAGCAACAGCUGGAAGCUACUACGUGCUGUUCGAGUAACGUUGACUGCUGCGUGUGCACCAGCACCGACCACAAACAGAAAGAUCAAGGCCGCAUCUUGACGCUGGGCGGCGCCGGUCGCGGCGACAUGCCGGACCGUGGCGCGGAGGCCGCAGUGCCGCACGGGUGGGUGCGUGCCGGGCUGGGGCCUCGGAGCGCGCGCGGCCGGGCGGGUCCGUGUCCGCUGGCAGCCGGGCUCGUGAGAACCACCUGAUGGCGGGCACGUCCGGAACGCCAGCCGACAGCCGCCGCUCCUCCUCCAAGGCCAUAACCGGCCGGCACGUCCGCACGUACCGCGGGGACGCGCGGCGGGACGGCCGCGCCCCGUGCUUGAGCCCACGUCGCAUGCAAAGGUUGCCGACGAGUCACAUCGAGUCUCCGGCGAAUGCUUCUCGCGGCCUCGAGGGCUCGUCGCCUUCAGAGUCACAUCGAAAUCACUGAAACGGCCAGUGUUUAUCGAGGCUCAUCGCCUUUCUGAUCGUGGUGACUAGGAUCCCUAAUCCCUUUGACACCUUACCACGUGGCGCAGACGUUGUCACCACAAGUUCGAGCCCAGGUAAUCCAGCGGAGCGUGCAGUUCAGACCACAAUCUCAGCCAGACAGCUAGCAUCAUCAACAGGCUAACGUGGUCCAGACCAUCAUGUUUCCAGGCCAAGUGGACAGCAACGUUUUCGUCCAUGCCGAGUUGCUGCAGCUGGAGGGUACACCUGCUGCUACGGAAAGCUUGAUCUUGUGUGACGGACACGCGGUUUCAGGCCCUCGAUGUCAACUGUUGCAAUGGCUCAUUGACAAUUUGCUCUUGCACCCAUGCGAGAACGGCUCCAGGCAAAAAGUCAUGGCCAGGUCCAAAUGCAACAUUCGGCACGGUAAAUGACUCAGCAUAGUUCAUCAGCUCUACAGCUUACAACCAAAUGGGAGCUACAGGCUGCAGAAAUUCUAAGUGCCUCGAGACAAUUUUGAAGUUUACCUAGACACCGCGCUAACCGAUGCAUGAAUCGCUCAGUCAGAUAGAGCAAUAUUAUUACCAACAACUGGCAUGAAUCCAUAGGCUAAAAUCCUCAGGGUUCGCUCUUGACAGCAUGGUUGUCAGAGGCGCCAGCAUUUGGAGCAUGUGAUGGCAAAGCAAGCCCCUUCAUCUUCAGGUCUCCCGGAAAUGGAAGCGCCUCCUGCAGCAGCUGGUGCUGCUGGGCAGUGCUGAGAUGCUGCUGCUGCUGCUGCUUCUGCAAAUGCGUCUGCUGUUGCUGGUGCUGGGAGUGGAUCUGGAGCUGCUGCAGCUGCUGAGCAGCCAGAAGCGACUGUAUAUGGCUGCGCUGGAAACUUUGUGGAUUGCCUCCAAAUGUGGACAGACCAAAGCUUCCCAUUUUACCAAUGUUGGCAUUUACCUGUCCUGUUGCAAUCUUCAGCUGCUGAAUCUCAUCUCUUAGCCUGUCAUUCAGUGCUGCACGUAGACAAGGACUGGUUACAAUACUAAAAAUGGAAAAGGAAUCUCCUGGAAUAACUUUUAUGGUACUUCCUAAAACAUAGGCACAAUGACCAAAACUCUAGGUAAAUUUGUCUUAAGUCUUAAAUUACAUUGAAUUACUGUUAAUAUUUGUAAAUGAAUGUUUAUCAUGCUUCACAUUUUCUUUUAUUAUAUGCACCAGUGAAAGUUUAUCAUGCUUCACAUUUGCUCUGAACUUUUCAGAAAGAACAGUUCAGAGCAAUCCUCCCAAUUGAAAAUUUCACUGGUGCAUGCAUGAGAAUUUGUAACGCAAUUGAACAAAGUAGUUUGCGGUUAUAUAUAUGUAACAUGACUGCCAUUUCUUCUCUAAAACCUUAAUUUGUUCACUUAACAUUUGUAACGCAAAGAAAAAUUAUAUGAACAGAACUUUACCAUCUUGCAGCCGGACUUGCUGUUCCAUUGUCUGCACACGUAUCUUCAAAUCACUGUUCUCACUUGUCAAACCACUGGUAUCUCUCUAUAUCAUAUGAAUAAUGAAUUAUACAAUUGUAGAAAAGGGAGGCAAGUUCUCUAAAAAGCUACAACUAUAUUAGUAGCAUCUAAAACUUAUAUGUAGGUUAAGAGUUACCCCGUCCGUUCCAAAAAUAUAAGACAUUUUAGUUUUGUCCUAAGUCAAAAUUCUCUAACUUUUAACAAAGUUUAUUGAAAAAUACACCACCAUCUACAGCAUCAAAUUAGUUAAUAAAGCAACUUGAAAUAUGUCUUGAUAAUGCAUAUAUUUAUUGUAGAUGUUAUUUUUCUAUAAACUUAGUCAAAGUUAGAAAAAAGACUGAGUACAUUACUAAAGUAUCUUGCAUUUUGGAACACAGAAAGCAAAGCACAAGUUAUUACUAUUUCCAAAACAAGCUUCACAAGUAAAACAUUGGAAAAAAAUAUAAUACCACAUUGGUAUACUCAAAGCAGUUUGGUUUCUACGAUAUGCAGAGAGCAGCUUGCAUAAGUAAUAGCCUUAUGCAGACACAAAAGUUGUUAAUGGAUUGAAGCAAAGUCUCGAAUCUCUAUUAUAUUUAAACUGAUGAUAAAAGCUCAAAAUAAUCACAAAACCGUGCAUGUAUUUGCCUAGUCAUUUCAUAUCUUGUUAACUGUUCAUGCUACUGAGAAGUAACUGUGGGUCAUAACCAAAUUGCAGAUCAAAAGGUAGGCAUCUAACUCAUCACUACAUUCAAGAAUUCGUGAGAAGGUAAAGACAAGUGAAGAACCUGCAACAUGGCCAGCUGAGCUGAUAGUGUAGUUGCUUCUGACUGGAGGGUCUGCACUUUUCUUUCUAGUUCUGCAAUGUAGCGCAUCUUUCUUUCUUUUGACCUAGCAGCUGACUGCCGGUUUGCCAAGAUCCUAAGAUGUGUCACAGAAGUAAAUAUUAGAUUACUUAAUCUAAUUAGAAUAACUUCAACACACAUCUAGAGAUUAUUGUCAUGAACAAUCAUUCAAUUAAUCAUACAGUAAAAUGCCUUCAGAAUUCACAUGAACUGAACAGACUCAGUAGCAUGUAGCACAAAUUUUGUUCCAAAUUACUGCGUAUAAAAAUCUAAAUUACUAAAUUACAGUGAUACAAUCUCAGUGCAAAAUAUUUUAGAAUACGUUCCUGAAGUCUUUCCACAAGAAAGGCGGAAAAAGGAUGAAUAUCUAUUGACAAUGACAUGAUAGGUCACACCCCAUUGCUGACUAGUUGACCAACUAAAAUGACUAAUUUAUUCUUAAAACUGGAAAUUGAAGAGCUUGAUUCUAUUAUCACCAAGAAUUUAUAAAUGUUAAACAACAAAUCAAAUCCAAGAGGUUGUCAAACAUGAAGAAUAGAACUAUUAUGGUUCUCCACCGAACUAGAUCUGACAUGUUAGUUAUAUCCAAUAUAAUUACUGCAAUUUAAUUAACCUAUUAAUCACCCAAUUAUGAACAAAAUUGCCUUUCAACUGUAAUUUAGCAAAGGAGAGGUCUACUAUGAUUGUUUAACAAUCAAGAUCAGCAUGUUAGUUUUGUUUCAUUGGAAUUACCACUGCUUAACGAAUCAAUAAUGAACCAGAAUGCCUUUCGCCUGUGAUAUUAACGGUCCAUAGUACUACUAUAUUUUGUUGGAUCACAAUUAGGCCAAAAAUUCAAGUAGGUCACAUUCCAAUGUAUGAUUCCAGAUUCCACUACUUCCCUGCCGUUCACAUUCUAAAUCAUGUGACUCUUUUCAAGGAGGCUUCGGUCUUUAAAAUUAGAAAUAACAGUCUCUUCGGGUGAUCAGUCCUUGUCAAACAUCCGCCGCAACCAAUAUCAUAUUCCCCUGUUAUUACCAACCGGAAAUACUACAAAGGUGACAGACAACACAUAAACCGCAGUCGCAAGCAAAACAAGGGGGGAAGCCCUCCUUCAUAGGGGUUUGUUGGUAGGUUCUCACCUCUUGGCGCGCUUGGGGUCAACGAGGGCGAGCUCGGCGAGCUUGGCGUCGGAGAUGGCCUUCUUGGCGUCAGCGCCCGCCCUCCCGGGCGUCCCCGCGGAGGCGGACCCCAGCAGGGAGGUGGAGCCGUCCAUCGACAUGCUGUGCUGGUGCCGCGGCCGAGGCGGCGGCGUCGCCGCCGGAUGCGGAUGCGCCGAGGGCACCGGCGUCCCGGGGAGCGUGCCGCCGUUCUCGAGGAACAUCUCGAACAUCCGGCUGCCGCCCGCGCCGCCGCCCGCCUCCUCGUCCUCGUCGUAGUCCUCCUCGUCCUCGUCGCCGGCCCCGCAGGCCUCCCCGACGACGCCGAGGUCGGCGUCGAAGGUGAGGUCGUCGGGGAGCGCGGCGCCCCCGAGGAGGAUCUCCGACUGCGCGCGGCGGUGCCCCGCCCCGCGCCGCGGCGGCGAGUCCGGCAGCAUCGCGGCGACGUCCCCCGGCGCCGCCGCGGAGGCGGAGGUGGAAGCCGAGCAGGAGGCGGCAGGGUCCACGGGCGGGGCUGGGUCCAUGGAGAUCUGGGGAAUGCGGGUGGAGGGCCGGGGCGGGGGCGGCGGAAGAUGGGGCAGGGAGACAAGGGGAGCAGGAGAGGGGUGGUGGAGGUGGAGCUAGGGGGAGGGGCAGGAGGAAGACAUGCUCGCGUUGAGCUUUGACCGAGGCAUUGACUCCGCGGAGAAAAAAAGGGAAGGGGCACCGGGGACGUGGGGCGUGAGUGGCGUGGCCGUCGCCGCUGCUCCAUUGGGCCGCCUUUGAUCUGCCAAUCUUCUGGCCGAGAUGAGCGGGCGGCGAGUUGGGGCCAGCUGCGGGCUCGACCGCUGCUGGUCCGGUCCGAAACACAGACUACUGGGCUUGGAGGCCUCCGAAGAUUCCGAGCCGCGGUCUCCUUGGCUCCUUGCUCAGCUGUUCAGGAUUUCAUUUUUUUUUGGAACAAGGCGCGAGGUUCAGUGCCCUGGGUGCAAUGUCCAGGGUUACACAACUUGCACCAGUAGGUUCCCAAAAGCAAACAGCAGAAAAAUUCCAGCUGAAGGCUACUCCGAUUCCAUGACAUUACGCAAACAGCUAUGGAUUACAAAACAUGCCAAGAGUCGGAACCUGAUACUGCUGUAGAAGCAGCCCUUGGUAACUCGGUACACGUUCCAACCGCCUGACUUGGGGACGGUUGGGUGAUCAGCAUCCAGACUGAACAUAACAUGUAGGAGAGGUGAGAGGAUGGAGCUACAGAACGAACGAACAAGCAUCAGGGCUGGCAUUUUUAUUUCAGCUGCCUAUCUAAAGAACUCCUGGGACUACAUAGGAUACAUUUGUCUCGCUAUCACUACUGCAUCGGUACCGUCGGCCUGGGGAGCAAUGAGUUGACGAGCUCCUCGUUUAUCUUCACAGGUAGCGGCGGCAUCUGCUUCAUGAUCUCUGGAGCAUCGUUUAUCCUGCAAACGUUUUGCAUGGGAAUCAGAACUUACAUCUCAGAACUGUUGAAAUUGGACAGAACAAAAAAAACAAGUAGAGUCCAGAAGCUCCAUGGAUGGACUUGGUUAGGGGGUGCGCAUGUGUUUCUGUUGGACCUUUCAAGGGUUUACAAACUCAUUCAUGGUGGUAAAAAACAGGGACAAGCAGAUCAAUUCUACAUAGAACAUUUGUCCGCUGUCAAGAAUCAAAAGACCAAUUAUGGACUGCCAGACUGGAAAGUAAUCUCCUCAGUUCAAUAGACUCUUAACACUGCCAGAAGGACUAUCCUGCCAAACUGCGAUAACCGCAUAUGAAGCAUUACCAUGGUAGAAGAAAUGGCAAAUGCUACAAUAGUAUGAUAUGUCUCUUGUAUAGUAUGUGUUCUGAAAAAUGUAAAUUUGAACUGAAGCUACUACUUAAAACGAUGUAAAUAAGGAUACUAAAUUAGCAUGUAAUAACAAAAGUGACUGGGAAUAUGAGAUGACUAAACCAUUUCAGAAUUAUAACACAACAGUAAUUCAAAACAUACUCUUUCAAGACCCUGAGUAUAUUAUCCCGAGUUUGGCACAGCAGUGAGAUGUUAUCCUGUAUCUGAAAAAAAGAAAUUAACCACAAGUAAAUAAAUACAUGGAAAAAAACAGAGGCCUUGUUCGGAAGAGCAGAUAGUCAAUAGAGAAAUACAGGCGAAUCAUUGAUUAAAAAUCACCUUGAAGUAAAAGGAUACCUGCAUAUUGCUAAGAUUUAUCGAGAUUUGACCCAAAACUUGGGCAUUGGUUUCAAGGAUUUCUCCUGUUGGUCCACCAAUGGCUGCAGAAAGGCAAAAAAGGUGAAUAAUCUAACAAGUCAGCGCAUAGUCACUCAUGAUUCAAGCAGCUAGAACUUCCAUCAAAUUUAAAAAUGCAUAAGUAAAAAAACAGCUUAAACAUGUCGAGCAAGCAGUGCCUACAUAUAUCAUUAGAUUUCCAAAAUGUAUUGACACAUUCAGAAUCAUGUAAUAAACACAGAGAUGUCAUGCAACUAUAAAUAAUGAAUAUCAUCUAGUAUGCACUGUUCAUAUGCCAAAAAGGGAGUACAUUCUGGGAGUCCUGGACCAGCCUAUGUUCCUAGCACCUAUUAUCAAGAAAUACAGUAGAGAAAGAUUAUGGUAUAAAAUUAUCAUUUGAAUUAAUUAUGCGUAUCAGAUUUAAGGGAAACUUAUAUGAAAAAAGGUCACAGCAGCAAAUGAUGUUUUAAAAUGCAGUGAAUUGUCAAACCCUAACAUAAGUUAGGCAUGAAAGAGAACUGCAUAUUCCAGACACUUCCACUGUAUUUAGCAGUAGCGUUGCCCAAAAUCAGCUGAAUUUACAUGUCAGGUCAACUAUAUUUUUAAAACGAUGAAUCAAUUGGUCUAUGGUCUCAAUGCCUCUGUGAUAUUGCAGAAACAAUUUCAUGAUGGAUGCCACUGCUAAUUUGCUAUAAAUGACAAGUGAACAUUUGAUAGCAGCAACCAGGGCAUCAUUUUAAAGUUAUAGAAAUAUCACAAAUAAACACAAACCUAUCAUGCAAACAUCGCUCUUUACGCAGUUGAACUCCCAUACUGAUAAUGGAGUAAAUAUCAAUCUGACUUACCUUUGGACGAGAUCUCGUCAUCGUCCAUGGGAAGAACUGGAAGAGGGUAUGGAGGAACAUUAGGCCUACCAGCCAUAUGUACAGGUGGUUUCGAUGAAGAAUCUGAAACCUUCUCCUGCAUCAGCAGAGUAGUUGUCAGUGCAAAUCUCAUAUUUAAGUAGUAUACAGUUGGAACAUACUGACAUAUUGCCAGAUUGUCCAACCAGAUAUCUAUUAUUUGUGAACUUAGGUCAACAACAGAUUUCCCAGCCUGCAUUAUGACAUUUAUGAAAAUAAGAUUAAAGACAGGAAAAUAUCAGGACACCUUUUUGUCCUUGCUUUUCUUAGACGAGUUAUGGUCCUCUUUCUUUCUUUUGCCACUCUCUUUUUUCUGCAGGUUCAACAAAUUACCUCAAAUCAUUUCUGAAACAAGAUAAAGACAGCAGAGGCCAGGCAUCAUGAUACUGCAAAUGCUAAGUAUAUGUUAUAUACAUUCAUCCAUCUGCAGCGCAAGGCUACAUCUCGAACUGUUUUCUCUGGCAACUUCAUCGCUAUUUUUGCAUAACGAAUGACAGGCGCGUCGGAUGCAUACCUGAGAGAAAAUGCCGAAGAACAUUAAUGAAAAUGCGAGAUUAAAAAAUAACAGGCCUCGCAGUUAACAGACCUUCACGAUGUUGUCUAAACAAUCUACUUACAAGCUCAAAAUGCAAACCUAAUAUACAAUCCUUUUGAAAGAUGUCCUUCAUAAGAACCGUGUUAUAUAACUACCAAGCGUUCACAUGCUCCACAGUAUGACAGAAUAAAACAUGUGUUAAGAGUGACCAAAGGGCAAAACGUUAUCCACUUGCUUCAACUAAGUCAAACUUGUACUGACUACAUUGCAAGGAGAAGCAUUCGAAUGAGAAAAAUGACUAGGAAUAAGUAUGCUCCAACUGAAUUUAAAAGGAGGCCGUCGACUGUUUCAAUCUACGACUAUGCAAAUACAAUCUCACUGAAUUUGCUAAGUUUGUAGUACAAACCCUGCCUAAUUGCUCAAGAAUACCAGCCGAUUCUAUCCGAGAGUCGGAAUUCAGAACCGAAAGCAACCAUCUAACCCGAACUGCGGCGUUCCCAAACCCACAAAACCCAGCAAUUCGGCGGACUCACUUGGCGAGCAGCUCGUCGAGGGUGGCCUGCUCCUCCGGCGACCACUCCCGCGCCAAGCCCGGGUCGUGCCGGAGCGCCGCCGCCGUGCCUCCGUUGCUAGGGUUCGCUCCCCCUCCACCUCCUCCUCCUCCCCCGCCGCCGCCUCCUCCUCCGGCGGAGUGGGACCCGUUCUGCGCGGCGGCGCUCGCCGGCGGCGGAUGGCCGUUGGCGCCCAUGUCACCAGAAUUGGAGCGGGGGAAUGUUUCGCUUCUCACUUCGGGAAGUUGCUUCUCUGGCCCGAGUUGCUGGGGAGGGAAGAGACGCUCUCUUGUUCGCGCGACGAGUGGAUAUGAGGGGAAUAAAGAGGGUUUUCGAUGUCUUUUGGGGCUCCUUUCGAUCGAAAUGGGGGAUUUUUUAGCUGCUGUAGCGUGUUUGUUCGCAAGGUACGAGGGAUGCCGUUUUCGGUUUUCCCUGCCCUUUUUGGUUUUUUAGGAAUAUUUAUAUGCCUUUUUUCCUGUGAGUUUUGUUAGCAAUUUUGUGAAAGAGAGGGAAUCCCAUGAAUUUUGGAUCAAUUUUAAGUGGGAUUUGAACUUUUAGGAUUUGAAUCCCACUCAAAUUGAUCCAAAGUUCAUGAGUAUUUUGAAACUAAAUUUGAAUUCCAUUCGAAAGUGAUCAAAAACUCAUGAGGAUUUUAAACCAAGUUCAAAUCCCACUCAAAGUUUUAGUGGAUGAGAGCUCAAGGCAAGUUUAUGAACUUAGAUGAGAACUCGGGACAAAUUUAGAAGCUGUUUUGUGCAUUCUGAGAGUACCGGGACCAGGGUGAGAGCUCGGGACAAGUUUAAGGAUUGUUAUGGGUAUUUUGAGAGUAGUGAGAUCAUGAUGAAAAUUGGGGAUAAAUUUAAGAACCGUUAGUGAAAUUUACUCCUUAUUAUAAGAAGGAUACUAUCAACAUGAGGAAGAAGCAUAACUAAGAAUGUGUUUUAUGUAUAUAUCAUCCGUUUUCAUAUUUGGGUAUUUCCAGUAAACUAAACGAGAUCUUAAAAAAAAUAUGAGAUGCGUUAUCACACCUACUUUCACAUGAUCCCGUUUUCAACAUGGUGAACACCUUAUUUAUCAUGCUUAUGUAUUUCUCGAAAAUCUCCUAACAAUCAAAGGAGCCCAAUCCUCGUUGACAAUGAUCUUAGAUUAUUGGCCCAAAAGACCCACGAAGCGGAUGGCAAAAUAGUCACAUUAGAAACUGGAAUUGAAAAUGAAAUACUAUGUUAUUGUUUCUUAAAUUCGUCACGGUCCCAACACCGAACACAACUACUGUUUGUCUGCUAAACUUGGCCCGGCCUUGUUGCUUCCUGACUCCUUUAAAUUUCUUCCACUAGCUUCCUCUUCUUUUGCAUUAACUCGUUUUGGAUUCCCGCCUUUCCCAUGCAUGUCUUUUUGACAGAGAAAUCAUCCAGCUUUUAUAAAAAGCAAAUUUUCUUCCACGUUUUCCUUUCAUCUUUUUUGAUUCACCCUGGUUCAUAAAAAAAAUAAGAAACCUAAAAAGUUAUAUGAUUUUUCAUGAAAAAAGUCUAUUUUACUCCCCUCACCUAUUUACUUUGUUCACUUAACUCCCUAAGCAAAACUUAAGCUCACUUUACUCCCCUAAACUAUUUGGCCUAAUCUAGCCUAAUUAGAUCUCUUUUUUUGUUUGAGCAUGAAUGUAAACGAGAGACAAUUGAGAGGGAACGAUCAAACUUUAUUCAAACUGAUAGUAUCCACUUUUAUACAAGAUGUGGGGGGCCUUGGAUGGACGCGAUGGAAACCGUCGCGUCCUCCCGUGUCGACGCCAGUUGUGGUAACUGUCAUCAUGCGGACGGAUGAGAUCAUCCAUUAGUUUUGUAACAUUUUUGUUUCUUCGCGUAUAAGUUGAGUUCUAAUUUCAGAUUUUGUCACUUCACUUAUAACUUGAUGCUCUAUGAUAGAGAAAUACUUUAGAAAUUUUUCAUAAUUAAUUUUGGUAUAAUUUUGUAUAUUUAAGAUCAGUUUUGUAUUAAAUAUUUCUAAAAUCAUGAAAAAUUUUAGUAUAACUUUUUUAUAUAAGGCAUCAUGCUUAUAUCUGCUCACAAAAUUUGACUUCAAAAUUCGACUCAUGCAUGGAGAGAAAAAAAAGAGAAAUAUGAUUAAAGGGUAGAUUGGACCAAAUGAAAAUAGAUCAGGGAAGUAGGGUGAGUCUAAAUUUUGUUGAGGGUUAAGAGGACAAAUUGGAUAGGUGAAGUGAAUCUUUUUCCACCACGCUACUAUUCAUUUCUAUCCCUACAUGGCUACAUAGACCUAAGCACCGGCGAACCUAUCUCGGUAGAUUAGCCUGUGGUGGCUCCAUCUCGGUGUAUAUUGCAUAGACUUGGUUAGCUACAUGUGCUGCGAAGUGGUUUUUGUGUUUGAAGUUAGUAAACUAGUGGGGCGUUGCAACAUAAAACCUAACAAAAAAACCAAGAUGGCAUUUAGGGGGUUUUUACAUCCCGUUUUUUCAGUUCAAAAUGAGCUAGUAAAAGCCUAAAACAUAGAUAUACUUCCCUUCCAGCUGGAAGCACCGUGGUCAAUAAAACGCAGCGCAAGAUGGUCUGCUGGCAUCCCGCUACGGCGCGGGCAGGUCGUCGCCGCCCGAGGCCAAGGUAUGGGUCCGCGGCCGUCCAACUUUGCGGUGCGCGGUGAGGCUGUAACAACAGGGUACGGCGCACGUACGGUACGGCACCGGCCGGCAGGACCCGAGAUGGGCAGAGUUUAAACCAAAAAAGGACACGAUCGAGCUCAGAAGCGUUAAAAAAACGAGGCCGCGCAGAGUUUAGCAGCGUCCCAACUCCUCCCCUCUGGCUGCGACUGCGAGAGGAACCGCGCGCGCGACGCGUAUCGCGAUCGGCGUAUAUGGCGUGAGCAGUGACGGACCAAGGACGGAGCCGCCGGCGGCGCAAAUCACGCGCUGCCGUCGUUAACGCUCUCUCGCGCGCACGAGGACAAACAGGAGCUCAAAGCCUCAAAGGGAUCGAGCAGCUAAGCGUCGGGGCACACGUGGCUCCCAUGCUGGCGGCGGAUCCCGCAGCGAGCGAGCGCGGCAGCGUCGGCAGAUCCCGGGUUUCCCGAGGACGGCGGGUCCGCCCGCGCCGGGACUCGCAGCCAAUCAGCCAACAUCCUACAGGCUACAGAGCAUGUCGCGCGCUGCAGGCCUGCUCGCGCCAGCUAGACCCGCCGAAGAAAAUCCAGGCCCCGCGCCCCCGCCUCGACGCGCCCUGCUGGAGUUGUUGCCAUCAGGCAGAGGUCAGCCGAGCUCUGCUGCGCUAGCUGGUGUACGUUCCUUCGUGGCACGCCCAGCCCAGCUUGGCCAGCUAGCCGUGAUCUGCUCGCUACUACUACUGCUCCUCCGCUGGUGCUGGCUGUUGUCGGCAGAACUAGCCAAGCAUGCCGACUUGUGGAGGAGAUCAGGGCCAUCAGGCGAAGCCGCAGCUGCUGAGCUCCCGCCGGCUUCGAUUUCUGUCAGCAACUACGUCUACGUACGUAGCACGUACAUCGACGAGAUGGACAUCGCGUGGGAGGAGGGCCGUGGGUUGCGAGCAGUUUGCCCCAUUUUUUAUUGCACGGGAGCAUCGAUGUGGCCGGUAGCGGUUGCAAGCUGCUCACAUCCUCCUCCGAUCCCAUGCAAAAAAAAAAAAAUGGUAGUCGUUCGUAGCACGUUUCUUUCUACGAGCGUAGGAGCACGUUAGAUUUAACUUCUCCGAGAUCUCUGUGCAGGGGAUUCGCAACGAGAGACGUUGGUGGUGGCUCGUACACGACCCCGUCGUGUCGCUGACGCACAGCAGGAUUCCAAUUUUAAAACCUAGCUCUAGCUAGCUGUUAAUUAAUUUGCAUCUUCGCCAGCAGCCGCACUACUCACACUACCUGCUAAACAACCCGCACGGUAUCACGUAUCCCUGUAACCACUGUUCCUAACCGUACCAUCUGACGAAAGGGUUCUCAGUUCUCACCCGCAGUUGGUGGAGGAUUAUAUUGUCCUAGAAACCGGUAAACCAGCUCGUAGCCACAAGUCUUUCUCCGAUAUUCCACGGCCUCACAUCACAUCUCGUCGUCAGCAUCGCUGUCACGGCGGCUGUGCGCAUCACACGGUCGACGGUGAAAUGCACGACUGCCUUGUUCAUUUUUUCGUCGCUAUUACUCUCGAGGGGAAACAUGGCCAUCAGAUUGUCGCUAGCUGCCACUUAAAACUAGGCACUCGAUCCCUUGGGUUUAAAUAUUUUUUUUAGUUUAGCCUUCUUUGUAUACCUGUUGUUCUGCAACUUUUAGACACGACUACAGCUAAUCAGCUUACCUUUUUUUAGUUUGAGUCCUAUGACUGUGGACAUGCCAAGUUCGGAGACGCACACCCAGGUCCCAGGCUCCCGGAAGCCGGAGGGGAGCACCCCGGCGUGCGGACGCGAGGGAGAUCUGCGGGGUGGGCCGGCAGAAUCCGGGCGCGUUUUUGUCCGGUGCGCACGGGCAUCUGCUGCCGCGCCGAUGAUGAUCCGUGAUGCGACGGGACCCUGUUCCCCUCGGCUUUUGCGGUCAGCGAGCUUACCCCCAGACAGAUACUUCUCCGGUGAUCUCUAUCUUAGUGGGAGGAGGCCAGGAAGGAUCUCCUCCCCGCCGCGCAACCCAACCAAGUGCGAGCCCAGCCGGCCGUCACCGGGGGGAAAAAUGCGCCCUCGGCGACGUCGACGACGGCCGCAGUGGCGUGCGGGCUGCGGAACGCACCGCGCCAGUGGCAGGCAGGCGAAUCGCAGCCAAGCGUAUCGCUCGGUUCUCUGGGCUCCAAAUCCGUCAAUCAAGUCGUUGCCAUUGCACGAGACGUCUGAGAUUCUCUCUACUAUAUGUUCUUGCACCUUUUUAAAAAAUCGGACAAUCUAUACGGCGCUCGAGCGUUUUGACGCUCCUCAGCGCUUGAUUUUUUUGCCGUCCGAUCUGCCAUCUGCGGCUGUCUCCGCUCUCCGCUCUACCCUGCCUGCCGGUGUUGAUUUGUUUGUUUAUUCUAUAGCUGACAUGUGGGCCCGUUGUGCCAUAUACAGUGUUUUGAUUUUUGGGAGUCGCGCCCGUUAUAGCUGGGGGCUACCGCUUUGGCUUCUAUUCGGCUUCUCCCAGGUGCGCUUCCGUUGUAGGGUUUGGCGAUUCGUUUGAAUUUAUCGAUUCAUCCGUUGUUUUUGUGAUUGCACUCCAGUAGACGAUCCCUGUACGAUGCUUGUUCACUAGUUGGUUUUAAUCAGUUUUUCUCGCACGAUUACAUCCCCAGCGAUGAGAUUUCCCCCAUGUUGUAACUGUGCAGUUCAUCUUCUAGUUUCCUCCGGUUCGUUAUGCUCGGUUGACAUGUUGAUUUGUACCAAAUAUGGCCUCAUUAAAUCAUAGUUUGUGAUUUUGGUGAUUGAGUGAUAACAUAGUCAUUGGGACUAAUGUUUUGUCUAGCAUAUACCUUGUAGGUUUUCUAGGUUCCAAGAAUGCAAACCAAAUCAUGGCAAGGUCCAAAUGAUGAUAUUCUUGAUAUCCAAAUCAUGCUAUUUGAGUAUCCAAGUCGUGGUAUUCGAGUAUUCAAGCUAUGAUAUUUAAGUGACCAAGUCAUGAUAUCUAGGAUUAUUUUGUGGUAUUAAAGUAUCUAAAUGAUAGAGAAAUUUCAAAUAAUUCUAGACCAACCAAGUGACGGUAUCUUUGGUGCUUGCAUUGGACGAAUUGGAAUGAAAAAUACACCAUCGGAUGUUCCGAUGACCCCCAGAAUAGCGUCGGAGCAAGCAUCGGAACAAUUGGUACGCAGCAAAGAAGCUGAAUCAAAGACAGACCAUCGGAUAUUCCGAUGGCCUCUUUUCUAGUAGCGUUGGAGCAAUUGCCAGAAGAGAGGGGAGGAAACCCUAGACCACCGGAUGUUACGAUGCUAGGUUAAGGGAAGCAUCGGACGAAGCAUAUUUACUUCAAAAACUUCCAGAGAGGUUUUGGGCAAAAAUCCUUCAGCACCGGAUGAUCCGAUGGUGCCAUCGGAUGAAGCGUCUGAUGAAUUUUGGAUGUGUCAGUGAAGAACUUAGGUGCGGAGAGUCCAACGGUUAGUUGCACCGGAUGUUCCGAUGUAGGCCAAAAAUAGACCAUCGGAACAUCCGAUGGUAUACUUUUCACUAGCCGUUGGAGCAACGGCUCUUUGAACCCUUGGGGCUAUUUAUACCCCCACAACUCACCCAUUUGGAGUUGCUGGAGUGUCUUGGGAUGCAUUGAAGACCAAGACUCAUCAAGAACACAUCCAUGCCACCAAAAGUGCUUAAGUGAUCCAUCAAAGGGUUAGCACAAGCUUAGGAGAGUGAUUAGUGUAGGAUAGGCCGAGAGAGGAGUGAGUGCAAGGUGUGCCGACCUUGUGAUCAGGUUCUAGAGUGAACCACCGCUGUACAAGAGGUGUGCUAGCGCCUUGGAGCCCUGGUGGCUCGCCGGCAAUCUUCGACCCUCCGGCUUGGUGUGGAGCAGCGUCGAUGACCUUGUGCAGGGGAUGUGGAGACCCUCUUCCUUCGUGGAGAAGCUCCUUAGUGAAGACGGCAUCAAAGUGACCGAGGGACUUGGCGUGAGCCUUUGUGGUCGAGCCUUUGUUGUAAGUCAAGGAGCACCUUAGGAGAGACUUGGUGACCGGGAAGCAAUACUCUUGUAUGAGUGCUUCAACAAUGUAGACUAGUGGUGGCUUAGUGCCUACCGAUACCACGGGAUAAAUUCUUGUGUCAAGAGUUUACUUCCCCACAUGCCAUCCUUAUGUUUCCGCAUUUCAUACUUGUACUUGUGUGUCUUUACUUUUCUAGAGUAGUAUCUUGAUAGAAUUGGCUAUAGGUUGUAAAACUUAUUUUGGGAUGAGGAUUUCACACUAAAUCAAUCGUAGACUGCACAUCUAGAUAGUAUGAUUUAGUUUAUAUUUUGAUGCAACUAGUAGAAGUCAUAGGCUAAGGAUUUUAAGUUGCCUAAUUUAUCCCCUUUCCCUCUUAAGCUACGAGUAUUGAUUUCUUUCAUGUUUUUUGAUCCCGCACUCCCGACCCCGAAUUACCUGAACCCGGUUUCUGAGUCUAAAAAACGAAAAUAUUUAGGUUUGUUCGGGUUAAGAACUUCGGUACCCGAACAGCCCGAAAAACCCGAUGUUUAGCCCAGCCGUGCAUAGCAGCCCAGCCCAACUAACCUUCCAUCUCCCACGGCCCAUAUAGCACCCCCAACCCCCAAUCCUCCAGCGACAUCCCCACGCCAACACGCGCCGCCCCCUCCCCAUGCGCUGCAUCUCGGCGGCUCGGCCUCCCGUGUUGUCGACGCAUGCCGGCCGCCGCCACUAGUGCCAGUCCCCAUCUCCAGCUCGCUGUACUCGAGCCUGCAAAAGGACGGGAAGCUGGGCCACCUCACAAUCUACCGCGAGAAGGCAAGAACCAGGUUCGCUUGGAGCUCGUGCUCGUCAGCGCAGAGGGCCAGAGGCAUCGGCGACUUCCUAUCCUAUCUAAUGAUUCAGUUCUGUGACUGCUCUUUAUAAUCUUUUAUGCUCUGCUCCUCUUCUCGAAUGUUUAUGCCUUGUCCUGUUCGAUGGAUGCUUGAGCUUUUACUGCUUGUUUAAUUUGCUUUGGAAAUUCAUCAAUUGAUUGGAUGUCUUGUCUUGUCCAGUGCGCUUUGUUUGGAUUUCUUUGAAAUUUCUUAUUGCCCGCUAAACUUUAGCACCUGUUACAUAGGAUGUUUGGAUAUUAAUUAGAAGUAUUAAACAUAGUCUAAUUACAAAACUAAUUGCACAGAUGGAGUCUAAUUCGCAAGACGAAUCUAUUAAGCCUAACUAGUCCAUGAUUUGACAAUGUGGUGCUACAGUAACCAUUUGCUAAUGAUGGAUUCAUUAGCCUUAAUAGAUUCUCUAGCGAAUUAGACUCCAUCUGUGCAAUUAGUUUUGUAAUGAGCUCAUGUUUAGUCCUCUUAAUUAGCAUCCGAAUAUUCGAUGUGACCCUGCUAAAGUUUAACACCUCGUAUCCAAACACCACCUAAAUGAUUAUGAAUUGCUGAGGAUUCUGCGAAGUGCUAAUUUUAGUCGAGCAAUUCGGGGUUACCUGAAUCUGAAAUGUCGGGUACCCAAAUUGUCAGGUUUCCUUUGCCUCGAUGGCCACCCCUAAGCGAGAGAAAGAAACCUUGCGUUUGUGGGUCCUGCCUAUGUUGGGAUCGAAGGGAGCAAGACCUUCUUCGUCCACGAUUCCACCCUCAUGGGUGCAGCUAGGCACCCUCGCCUUACCGGAUCAAGUUGCCGCCGCCGCGUCCUCCAUGGGGACGUGCACCGAAGCCAUCACAGCGUCCGUCUCCUCUGUCGUUCUGCCCUGAUAUGGGCCUGCCUCCGCCGUGGUAGUGCGUCCCAGUUCCUCCGCACAACGUCGGGGCUACCCUUUGAUGUGGACCCUCAACCACCGAGGCGACCAUCGGGCAGGCGAGAUCGAGGCGACAACGGCAGAAGGGCGACAUCGAGGCAGAGGCUGUUGUGGCGUUGGUGAGAUGUGGUGCGGGUGGUGGUGGUGCGGCCUGGUGAGCCCCGAGUUGGGGGAGGGGAGCGAGGGUACGGUGGAGGGUAACAUGCUGCUGGCGGGAUGGAAGGCGGAUCCAAUUGAAUUGGAGGCCGGAGAUAAGGUAAGGGCAGGCAGCUGCUCGGUCCUCUAGCUGCCGGCGGGAUGGAUGGGCGGCGACGGGGGUGGGGAGGCGUCACCGGCGCCGCGUCGAGGAUGGGGAGGUGAUGGCUUGAGAAAAAUAAUAAUGGGGAAUCGUGGGAAGAGAGCGAAACGAGAGGAGGAAAAAAACAGGGGAGGCAGAAAAAAAAGGGCACCAGCUCCGUCACCUAAUUUUUCUACCCUCUCUGACGUACUUCUUCUUCCCGCCGCCCUCACGUGCCUCUACCCGUGCGACGCAGGCGAGCUAGGGUCCUGUCGGCCGGCGCAGAGCUCCGACGGGACCCUAGCUCGCCCGCGCCGGCCGCCUUCCUACCCCUCCCACCGCCGCCGCCGCCGCCGUCCCCUGCCCUAGCACCACCCAUCCGUCGUCCACCACCACUCGAUUGGCGACGCCCCCCGCUGCCGCACCUCACCGCCUCCGUGCCUGCCAUCUCCGUCGAGCCAGCCUACCGCCGUGAGCCUUUCCUCUAGGGCCGCUGGUGAGCACCCACUUCGAAAACCUCAAACCUCUAACCUCGACGCCCUAAUCUUAUCGUAACUUAACUGGAAUUGAGAAGAGCGUGCAGAUGGGGAGGAAGAGAAAUUCAGGUUACGGGAAGCUCUAACAUACCCGAGUGGCGGUUAGUUUUUUUAAAAAAAAACGGGGGGAGGGGGUUGUCUGUAGAGAAAGGAUUACUCAAAUCUGUAGCCUGCAGUUAAAGCCACACGGCUGUGUGUAAAUGUUAGAGCAACUCCAAGAGUACCGCAAAAAAUUCUUCCCCAAAACUAUGUAUUGGGGGUUCUCCUAAAAUAAAUUCCCCCAAAAACAUAUCAAUCCACAGCAGAUAGCUAAUAAAUUACCCCCAAUAUUUCAAAACAGGCCACAUCAUCGUAUUGGGCCCAUCAGAAGGGACGCGUGGGCGUGCAGGAAUCAGGAUUGGGGGAGGAACGCCAACGCUAAAAUAUACGCGGUGGCAGGCUGUUUUUUAGCGUCGCUAAAAAAUUGGGGAAGGUUUGGGUGAACUGUUGGAGUUUGUUUUUUCUCUUUUUCUCUAAAAAAGAUAUUGGGGGUAAGAUUAGCAAUUUUUUAAGUUGCUCUUGUGGGCAAAAUCAGUUUGUUACUACGUAUGUAAUCGACCUUGUUCUUCUUCUUUAAUAUAAUUUGCCAUUUUGGUUACCAAAUUCUUCGCCUUGUACACAGCAUACCAAGCAAGUAAGCAACUUGGUUUAUUUACGGAGACAAAAGGGCCGGACAUAGGUUGCAUUGGGGGUGGAUACUGGGCCUUGGUUCACAAAUUCGAGCCAGCUAGACAAGUAAUACGGCCCCACAGCAAGAAAGCGUUUGGGCUGACGGAAUCAGGAAACAGACGAAUGGUAUCCAGGCCCGCCCAGGCGAGUCGCGCCGCGCAGGCGCUGAGGCCUGAGGCACACCACCCCACCAGACCACCAACACAGUCAAACCGCGGCGCUGUCUCCUCGCUGACCACUUCCACACCCGCAGCCUGGCAGGCAGUGCUCGUCCGAGGAUCCAAUCCAGGCGUCCCCAAGACCCCCAACCAGUUCGAGACAGCGCGACAGACGACAGGGAACUGCUGAACUAGAGACACGGCGAUUGGGCCAGAGGAAUAGCGAGCUCGAUUGCUCGGACCUACUGCAAGUUCGGGUUGCCCCCCAGCUGCCCCCAUCUCCAUGCACCGGUAUCGCGACCAUGGCGACACAUGACUACAUGAGGUUGCCAGGACCAGCGGCCAGCAGGAUGAUGAGGUGAGCUGAGACCCAUUUCCACGCGCCCCGGCUCGCUCGGUCCCGGACUCCCGGCUGGGCAAAGCGUCCUCGUCUUGGCUCGGCACUGCAUGGCAGGCCACGCCGGCCGAUCUUUUGACCAAAUCGAUGCCAUGCUAAAGUGGCGGUCUCCCUCACUCUGCAUGCAUGAUCUCACAGGCUCAAGCAUUGCAGAGUAAAACAGGCUCAACCAAGGUAUGGAUGGUGGCUCACUUCACACCUAACCUAUAAAAAUGAUUUUCUACGCCAUAAACUAAUGAAAACCAUUCGCCUAACCCCAAGGUGGUUUUGCACCCGGUUUUGCUGACUUGGAUAGUGGUGUUGCCACACUGGAAUGCUAACUGGAAUGCUAAGGUGGACUGAGUUGCUGACUGGACCAUCUGACAUGCAUGUGGGUCCUGCUUGUAAGUGGGAAGGUAAUCCUUCUUCCUCAGCUCCAGCAGUCCAGCCAUGGAGAUGGAGCUCCGGUAAGGCCGCUGCCUCCGCCCACGGCAAGGAGUUGUGCCACCAUGAGGUUUCUCGAUUCGCCCAUCGGGGUGCGAGGGCGGCGGAGAGGACCAGCUCAGUGCCAUCCUGGCGUGCUUCUCCUAGUGCAUGCCCAUCUCAGGUUUACAGCCGAAGCUGCGCGCACAAGCCCCACCAAUCUCCUCGCUAUGCUGCCACUUGUGCCGGCCCUUGUCUCCUGCCCAACAUCGUCAAAAGUGCCAGUUUAUUAACUAAACAAAAUUGCCUCCUGCCGACCAAUCUGUCCAUGCAUGGACGUGCUAUUUGAGAAGACAUCCGUCCCCAAAACGAGCCUUACCGCUGAUUUCCACCUCAAAAUUCAGCAUCAUUGAUCCGACAUAGAGCAACGCGUCACCGCCAUGAGCUUUGCCGAGUUGCCGCGCACCUCCUCCGUCCCACUCCACUGUCGAUUCCCCGCCGGAGCGGCGCGCCCGCCGCCGCCGUUCAAGCUUCCGCCAAGAUGCUCAUAUACGCCGUCCGUCGCUUGACCUUGGUGAAUGGUGAGCACACCCAUGGGCCAAGGCCUCCUCUCCCUCUUCUCUACUCUCUGCACCAAUAAUGGCGCCCAUGGCUUGCUGGAGCUCCGGUGAGGCCAACAUUCAGAGUCGCCGUCAGCCAUGGGAGCGACGAGCAAGCUCCCAAAUCUUUGCAAAAAGACCCUUCGAAAAUCCUGUAACUUUAGCAUAAUUUGUGAGUCUACGAAGAACCGACAAGUGGACCCAAAAAUACUUAAGCCUGUUUGGAUACUCCCUUCUAAAGUUUAGCACCUGUCACAUCGGAUGUUUGGAUGUUAAUUAUACCUAUUAAACAUAGGCUAAUUACAAAACUAAUUGCACAGAUGGAGUAACUUUAGCACCUGUCAUAUCGGAUGUUUGGAUGUUAAUUAUGCCUAUUAAACAUAGGCUAAUUACAAAACUAAUUAUGGAGACUAAUUUGCAAGACGGAUCUAUUAAACCUAAUUAGUCCAUGAUUUGACAAUGUGGUGCUACAGUAACCAUUUUCUAAUGAUGGAUUAAUUAGGCUUAAUAGAUUCGUCUCGCGAAUUAGCACAGGGUUCUGCAAUUAGUUUUAUAAUUAGCUCAUGUUUAGUCCUCCUAAUUAAUACCCGAGCAUCCGAUGUGACACUGCUAAAAUUUAGCACCUAGUAUUCAAACACCCCCUUAGAUGUUAUCCCUAUCCAACAUGGCAUGCCAAGUCAUCAAAACCAGGGUGCAAAACCAUUUUGGUGGGGGGGAGGGGGUUAGAUGAAUGGUUUUCACUAGUUUAAGGUGUAAAACCCCCAAUUUUAUAGGUUAGUGGGUGGAGUGUGUUGGAGUUGUUCCAAAUUCACUCCAGGAAAUAGGCCGGGCUUCUGACGGAGCGGAGGCCCGUCGCCGGAGGCUUGGAACAAGAGGUUUGAUUCAUUUAUGUUAUCACACGGUUUUAAAAGAUCUAAGUAUGAUAGCUGUGUUUACAUCAAGCAUGUUAAUGGAUCACCUAUAUAUUUGUUGUUAUAUGUUGAUGAUAUGCUGAUUGCUGCCAAGAGUAAGAUUGAAAUCACUAAGUUAAAGAAGCUAUUGAGUAGUGGUUUUGAUAUGAAAGAUCUUGGUAGUGCUAAGAAAAUUCUUGGUAUGGAAAUUAGUAGAGACAGAAAAUCUGGUUUGCUAUUUCUUAGUCAACAAAAUUAUAUCAAGAAAGUUCUUCAGCGUUUCAACAUGCAAAAUGCUAAGGCGGUUAGUACCCCUAUUGCACCUCACUUUAAGUUGUCAGCUGCUCAGUGUCCUAGUACAGAUGCAGAGAUUGAAUACAUGUCAAGGGUUCCUUAUUCUAGUGCUGUUGGGUCUUUGAUGUAUGCUAUGGUUUGCUCUCGUCCAGAUUUAUCAUAUGCUAUGAGUCUUGUUAGUAGAUAUAUGUCUAAUCCUGGCAAAGAACAUUGGAGGGCAGUUCAGUGGAUUUUCAGGUAUCUCAUAGGCACAGCAGAUUCCUGUUUAAAGUUUGGAAGAACUGGUAAGGGUCUUAUUGGCUAUGUGGAUUUUGAUUAUGCUGCUGAUCUGGACAGGCGAAGAUCACUUACAGGUUAUGUGUUUACUGUUGGCAGUUGUGCUGUGAGUUGGAGGGCUACUUUACACUCAGUUGUUGCUUUGUCUACUACUGAAGCAGAAUAUAUGGCUAUUUGUGAAGCGUGCAAAGAAUUAAUUUGGCUGAAAGGUUUGUACGCUGAGCUUUGUGGAGUUGAAUCUUGCAUAAGUUUGCACUGUGACAGUCAAAGUGCAAUUUACCUCAUUAAAGAUCAGAUAUUCCAUGAGAGAACUAAGCACAUAGAUAUCAAGUAUCAUUUUGUGCGUGAUGUGAUUGAAGAAGGUAAGCUAAAGGUAUGCAAGAUUAGUACUCAUGAUAAUCCUGCUGAUAUGAUGACAAAGCAUGUUCCUGUUGCUAAGUUUGAGCUGUGCUCAAGCUUAGUUGGUUUAAUUGGAUAGUCCAAGAGACUAUUGUUGGCACCAGUGGUUUUCUAUCUUUGUUAUGUUCAGGAUGAAGGGUUGAUUUAUGAUACAAGAUGAAUUUGUCUCAAGGUGGAGUUUGUUGGAGUUGUUCCAAAUUCACUCCAGGAAAUAGGCCGGGCUUCUGACGGAGCGGAGGCCCGUACGGUACGGUAUAUACACCCUAGGGUUUCGUGGAGACUCGAUUCUCUUGUAAGCCGCCAUAGACGUGUAACCCAAAACUCUUGAGAUAGUGAGAUUGUUGCUGGCUGGUGCCCGUGGUUUUUCCCCUUCACAUUGGAGGAGUUUUCUACGUUAAAUCGUGUGUCUCCUCUGUGGCUUGAUUCUUUACUUCAUAUUUCUAUACGUCGUUCAUAACAGAGUGAGCCACCAUCCAUACGUUGGGGGUUACAUAGACUUUUUUCUAAAACAUGAUAAUGAACUGUUCCGUCAGGUAGGUCCGUCCACAAAUUGCUGACGAGAGGAGGAACAACAAAGAACACAUCCAUAAUUAACUUGCUGUUAGCGUAUGAGUCUUUGUGGCUUAUCAAAAUGGGGUCUAAAUCUGUUAGAAUUUAAAACCUUAGUCAGGGUUGGAUCCGUCCCGAGCUGUAAAGACUAUGCAUAUCUGAAAACUGAAGCAAUAGGAUUCAUACGCAGAUGCCAAGAUCGUAGAGCGGCCUGGUGGCGAGCUCAUCUUGGCACCAUUAUAUUUUAUCUAAAAACUUGAAGGACUAUCAUUGUCGAUAUUUCCUAAUGUAACCCUCCCAGGGGCGGGCCUAGCGUGUAUCAAGGGUAUUCAAAUUGAAUAUUUAUUAUUUUUUUGUCAAAUAAUUUGUGUCUUGAACACUUUGAAAUUAUGAUCUCAAGCCUAUGAAUUUAUGGAUAUAAUGCUCAACUCUGAGUUAUACAUUCUAGUUGUUAUACAAAUUAUUUUGUGAUGCUAAAAUCUAGAUUUUGGCAUUAAUUUCUUUUACCAUUUGAAAAUUUGGAUACCCACACUACAAAUCCUGGGCAAGCCCCUGCCGUAGCCUGUACACACUCCACGAGCCACUGUUCAUUACACAGAAGCAAUUACGCCUAUGCCAUGUCAGUACGAGGCCACUUAAAGUGCGCCGAUGAGCUGAAUCAAACUGAUGAAGACCAGCCAAAUCCAACUGCCUGGAUGCCCAGCCUGCAGAGAAUAUCACCGGACCGAAUCGCGCCCAGCAGUGGUCCAUCCACACGCAUCAAGGAUUCCCCUCGGCGUCCACCGAUUCCACGCUGCAUGCCCUCCGCUUUCGCGACAUGCUUAGAGCCUGUGUGGUUAGAGGGUCUAAAGCUAGCUAAAGCGCGGGUGCAUGAUGCGUCUUUCUUCUCGCCAGCGGCCCAAAGCAUCGAGCGAUCGAGGUCGCAGCGAUCAUGACUCCUUUUCCCCUUUGCCUUUGCUUCGUUGUAGCUGCAUGACUUUUCCCAAUCUCCCCCGUUUAUUUCUACAACCUCCGAGCGAUCGAUCCGGCAUGGCUACCAUCAUGGUUGCGGCCGCUGGCCGGGGAGAUUAUCAAACUUCAAGCAUGUUCGUGUGCAGUAGCAUUUGCAUGCAACUGUCUCAAUACUAAACUGCCACUAGUCGGUCUCGGGUGUUUGGAUUCUUAGGCUAAAGUUUAGUCCGGGUCACAUCUGAUAUUUGAAUAUCAAUUAGGAUGAUUGAACAUAGGUUAAUAACAAAAAUAAUUGCAUAAAUGAGUUAGGCUUAAUGGAUUCAUCUCGCGAAUUAGCCCUCAUUUAUGCAGUUAUUUUUGUUAUUAGUCUAUAUUUAAUCCUCGCAUCCAAACAUCCGAUGUGAUCCGAACUGAACUCUAGCCAAGGAUCCAAACACCCAGCACCUCACCUUAACCCUACAGAAAAACACUCGAGCUCGUACGUGUGGCAUGUGUUGCUCCAGACAUUUCUAUCGAUCGGGAAAUCGUUGUGAUCAACCGGUGGGAAACAGAUAGGUUGAAGAAUACUGUUAGAAAAAAGGAAAAGGAAGGUAAUGUUGUUUCUGCCUGUUUGUUUAAGGGGGUGUUUGGGAGAGGGUGAUAAACUUUAGCACCUCUACUUUAGUUCAUUUUAGUUACUUGUGCUCUCAAACAGGUGAGCUAAAACUGGUGGACUAAAUUUUAGCCCACCACUAAUCCUUUAGUCACUUGGGGUAGCUAAAAUGGACUAAAUGGACUAAAAAGUGGUCCCCCGGACCACUUUCCCCCUGCCCCCUCCCUUCUCUCUCCUCCCCUUAGUCUCUCUCUCUCCCCGCCUCCUUCGCCCGAACCACCGCCUCCGCCUCGCCCGCCGGUCCCGCCGCCUCCACCUCGCCCGCCGCCUCCGGCCGGCCCCGCCCGCCCCCGCGGUCUCCGCCGGCCCCGCCGACCCCUACGGCCUCUGUGUCGUUCUCCUCGACUAUGUCGCCCAACGCGGACGCACCCCCGGAGCCGGAAGGCACCGCCUGCGGGUGGUCCUCGGCGAAGCCGGAGUUGGAGGAGAGGACCUGCUCGUCGAAGGAAAGCGCCGGCGAGCCCGGCAGCGUCACUAGCAGGGCCAUGGGGAUCGGCGCCGCGGCCACCGUCACCGCCCCGGACGCCGCCACCACGGCGACGGUCGCUAAAGCCGCUGCCGGCACGGCCGGAACUACCUCUACCCCGCUGCCUCCACGACUGGCGGUGGUGCCGCGAUAGGCGCGGGCGCGGGGGGCUCGCUGCCGCCGGCCUCCCCGGUGGCGCCGCCCUGCUCGGCCAUCUAGCCACCACCGCAGCCCAGUCGAAUCUGAGCCGGGGAAGGGAAACCAUAGCUUCCAGAUGCGGGAAAGGGCGACUCGGGUUGGUAGGUACGAAAACGGGGUUCUUGGCCUGGGACCGGACGACGCGAGCACGGGCCGGUGCGGACAGCGGAGUCGGGGAUGCCAGCGUGAGCACGGGACGACGUGGGCAAGAUUUGCACUUGAGAAGGAAGAAAUAGAGGAGGGGUAGAGAAGAGGAGAGAAAACAGGGAUAAAUAGUCUUUUAUCAACACAGGUGCUAAAAUUUAGCACUCACUAAAACACCCUAAAGGGCUAAAAUUUAGCACUCUAUUUGGGAGGGCUAAAGUUUAGUCAAGAAUAAAUUUUAGCACCUUCCUCCCAAACAUGCCCUAAGAUGAGAGGAACAGUUGGACACACAUCUUGGAGAGUGGGAGACAUGCAUGCAUGGCCUGAACUUAGCUGCUACUAACUGAUCCCUGAUCACCCUUCACCUCACCAAACCUACAAUAAAGCACUUGACGGCGUGUACGUGUGGCAUGCGUUGCUCCAAACUUUUCUAUCAGAUUUUUUUUAAAAAAAGGUUAAUCAGUAGUAGUACGAGCGAAGGAGGUUGGCACGAGCAGUCGAACAGAUAUAUAUGUAUAUAUAUAAACGUACAAUGGACGGCGGUUUCUCAGCAUGUUGCUUUUGGCUUAAUUCUGAGGGGAAAAGCUGGGCACAUCCUGGGGGCAUGAUCAUUAGCUUGACUUCCAGCGUAGGUUAAGCUAAUAUGAAAUGGUUGGCUUCUUCUUAUUACUUAGUACUCCCUCCGUUCCAAAUUGUAGGUCGUUUUGACUUUUCUAGAUUCAUAUAUAUUAUUAUACUCUAGACAUACAUAUAUCUAGAUAUAUAAUAAUAUAUAUGAAUAAAAAAGCUAAAACGACAUACAAUUCGAAACGGAGGGAGUAGCUGAAAGCAGCUUGAAUUGUUAUCCAACUUUUCCGUUUAUUUGUAUUUCGAAUCAUCAUGCACGUAGUAAUGCAUGUACCUACGUACUCCACGGUCGGAACUGAGUGGGAGGCUUUUUUUUCUAUACUCAUCCUGUUCCCCUCUUAUCGCCAACCAUACGGACACGCCACUCUUUCAGCAUGUUGAGCUUGAGAAGUUGGUUGUAUAUACAUCAAGUGCCUGGUUUUGGCUCACAAGUCUUUGCAAGCAUGAAAACUAGUUGAAUGAUCAACCGAAGGAAAGAGAGUUCAUCGGUGCAUGUUUCGUCCACUCCUGAAUUUUCAAGAUGCUGAGCUUGAUAGACUACUACUGAACUGAUCAGAGAAAAAUGGUAACACUGUGGGACGAUGGACCCUGUAUAUGUUCAUUUUUUCGUAAAUUUUAAUGGAAGCUUUUGGUCCUAUGGCUCGGCCGAACGAAGCCGUGGCAGCUCUAGGCUUGGAGUCAUUCACCCCUAAUUGUUGAUUUUGUUUCUUUCCUCUCUCCCUCUCUCUCUAAAUAAAAUAAAAGUUGUUAGUUUAGCUUUCAAAACCUGCUUUAAGGCAGCUUUAAGGUACUGGUUCUACAAUUAAAAUGGGCUUGAAUCCUACUUAAUUUCAGUGCUAACAAAUGCAUCCCAUGUCCUAUGUGGAAGGCUACAUGGGAAGUACACUAGAGUAUAUCAGACAAGUCAACACAAAGGACUAGAAAUCCUUUUGAAGAUGCAGGUUACAGUACAACAAAGCUGCGGCCCGUGGUACUGGUGCUACAUACCUGAUUGAGGAAUAUGGGUACCCAUACCCACCGACUAGGAUACUGGCUGGUCCUGAUAAGUGAGCCCGCCCGACCAAAACGUGCGGGUAAAGAACGUGAAGAUACUUGGAGUACAAAUCAGUCCGGAUCUUACGGGACACGUGUUGUAAUCUAACUCAAAUCGCUUUUCAUGUAACAACCGACUAGAUUAGAUUCAAACCGACUUGUAACCCUAGGUCGUCAGCCUAUACAAGGCGGCUAAGGGCGCCUCCCGAGGGCAUCUCAAUUCUCAAGCAAUACAAACCAAUAAAAUAUAGGACGUAGGGUAUUACUCUCCGAAGGUCUGAACCUGUCUAAACCCUCGUGUUCUUGCGAUCACCUUCUUGGUUUCGCAAUCCCCUCUGCCUACAAAUCAACCACUUGGGUAACCUCUUGGUGGACUGUUGGGCUACUAAAUCCAACAGUUGGCGCACCAGGUAGAGGUGAUUGUGAGAUCCUCCCUAGCAAGCUUGAUAGCAUCUCACCCUAGAGUCAUCUUCCCCGAGAGCAUGAAGUAUUUCCUUGCCAACCCGAUCUAGCUUCGCUUUGGGAGCAUGCCGGUGGACUCUGACUCCACCACCUCCUCCACCGACUAGGCAUCCGCCACCAGCUCAGCAUCCGUCGGAUCUACUUUGACGGAGCAAGGUCUUCAUCCGAGGAUCAUCACGCCGCUUGCCCAGCAGGUCGGUGAUCUCUCUCCGAGAGGAUUCCGAACAUCCUUGUUGCAACCCGUCCACCCACGCCCUCCGACCUGAUCACGAGGCUAGAUUGCAUCAGCAACACUAGUGCAUUGAUCUCUCCAAGACGGUGCUACGCUCAACAAGGUCGGCGCAGGGUCCUUCCCUCGCCCCCUUUGGUCUAAAGAACUUGGCUGCCGCGUUUUCCACCAAACUCGCGCAGUCCCUUCAGAUCCAAUCUGGAGACCCACCCGCACCCACCCAGUUUUCGGAUUGUGGUGAGUUCCAGGUCCCCUGCAUUGUACAAGCAACGACCAGAGCAACUCCUCCACGCCAGAUUGCGAAACCUUUAUGGUCUCUGCUGACGAUCCACCCAGGGAUGGCGAAACCUCUUCUUAGGAAGUAGGCUGCAACGCCAAGAACCAGGAACGUGUAGUACGACGCUAACAGGAACAAGCCGACGCCCAGCGACGCCAACAACCUGCUGCUAACGCGGGAGUGGAGGCGGCAGGUGACCAGUGGUGACCACCGCCUGUCACCAACCCCGACCCACCGCGUGCCAACGACGGUGAUAACGCCGACCGGAACGGUGCCUGGGGCAGACACAGGCACCCUCUGCGCGCCCGCAAUCUACAAGCUGACCUCGAGGAGGCCAGCAACAACGUCUUCACUACACUCCAGGCUAACCUGGGGCUGCCUUCGCCGACCUGGAAAACCUUUCAGACUCGGAGCCACUUCGACGAAUCCGGCCAACGCCCAAAUUGAAGAGCGAGCCCACAACCGGUCAGCAUACUCCCGGUCCACAGCUACCCGGCACUCUCGAAGCCGAUCCGGGCAUAGCAGAUUCGGCCACCACCGAGGCGACCACGACCGCGCGGGAGGUCGGCUGGAGACCGUCCGUGAAAAGGAAGUGGAGCAACCCACCAACCCAUCCACCAACCACGACAACCGCCGCUGUGGCAAGAGAGGCGAUGGCGAGGACUGUGGCAGACAAGGUCGGCAACGUGACCUUCGUGAAGAGCUACGCGACCGCCGUGACCUCCGCGCCGACCUCAACAACCACCACCGAGAGCGGGAAGAGGUAGAGCUCCGCCGUCACGCCGAGUACGACUGUGACUACGGCGCCCCUAGACCAAACCGCGAUGGGGAACGGGAGGACCGCUGAUGACAAGAAGAUUAGAUGCGUUGCCGCGCCGAAUACGACCGCACGUACGGUGCCCCUGAAGACGCCUACAUCCUGCCCGCCCAGGUGCAACAACGGUGGACGUCCCAGGGCACCACCUGUCGUGUACAACCUCGAGGACGACAACGACACAACGAUCGAUGGUUUCGCCGCCUUCACUCCCCACCUUAGGGCCGUUGAGUGGCCCACUUCGUUCAAGUCGGCCAUCAACGAAAAAUACGAUGGCCGCUACAACCCUACCAUCUUGAGCUUACAGCACCGCGGUGAAAGCCGCUAACGAUACCUACGACCAGAUGACCGCCUAUUUCCCGGUAGUGAUGGGUCCCACCCCUCUGGUGUGGCUAGAAAACCUCCCGCCAAGCAGCAUCGACAGCUGGGGUCAGCUCGCUAGAGCUUUCAUCGAGAACUACUCCAAUUUCAGUAGACAGGUCAGCUCGAUCGAACACGGCAGAAUAUAAAAUCGCUCGUGAGCUCAACUACCUCCAAUUUCAGUAGACCGGUAGCCCUGUACUUUUAGUACCCGUUGCCCGUUGGUGUGUCCGUCCGUGUGUGGUGGCUUCAUUGGUUGGGAGGAAUCAUGGCUGAAGAAAAAAAAAACAUGCGCAUCGGUGCAUGGUAACAUGCAUCAAAGAAAAGGGAGGUAGCGAAAAGCACUAAGCAAGCUUGUAAAAGCUUUGGGAUUGGAUCCUUUUCUUGUAAGAUAUUGUUAUGGACAUCUGUUUGAUAUGAUGCAGGAAUUCCGCAAUAUUGUGAGUCUAUCCCGAAAUUAUGGGCAUUCUACAAAUGUUGGCACACGUUUCCUAGUUCCUACUCGUCGGGUGACUGAAAACAAUGACAAUUGGGCGCAUUUACAUGCCGACAGCAAAGUUUGCAUUGCCGAACUAUGGUUUGCGGCACUGGAUGAUGGCCACAGGAGCCUGCUGGAUCAUGGUGGAGAUGGGCAUAAGGGGCGGCACAGUGUGGAUACACGAAACAAGCUCUUCUGCUUUUCGGUAGAAUCUGAGAAAUUUCUGAUUUUGCGUCUGAAUUUUCUUCUGUUUCACUCUAGAAUGUAUGUUUUGUUUGUUAGGAACUCCACUUUCUGGAGGGAAAUGGUUUGUUGAGUCCCUACCAAAACGGGUUCUAUGGCGCCUAAAUGAUACUAAAAGGGGUAUUUUAAAUUCUUGCUGUAGCUCUCUGUGUGGAAAUGGCUCGAUAAUUUGACGCCUUCAGUGCAAUAAUGAGUGAAAAGGCUGCAGCUGUGUCCUUGCACAUACACCUUCUACAGUUCUACUGUCAUAUUACACUGCCAAGCAUAUAUCGGCGAAAUGCAGUACACAGGGCCAGUACUUGGUGGUCUCUCAUGCUCGCAUGAUUCAGUUUCCGAAGGGUCCCCAAAAAAGCCUUCCUUGUUGGGUCAUGCAGGCACGCAGCCUUUCCCUCCAGAGAUCUUUGAGCCUUUGACACCCUGCGGCAGAGGGCAACAUGACCAAACUGCCCUCCCGUCCAGGCUCCAAGCUCCAGCGUCCGGCCGAACUCCCCCUCCUUUAACUAACUCCUAGUGCCUCCAUGCCGUGGAAGCUCGCCUCUCACUUCACUUCCCCAUAGCGGGGGGAAUGUAGUAACAGCUUGAUGUGACCUCACUUCUCCACUCUCCUCCUGACUCCUGUCGCUCGACGCCAACUGGUACGCGCCAGCCCAGAUGUUUCUCCACUCCAUCUUGAUGCAAAAAAUGGCAAAGAACACACGGCAGCCAAGGUACAUUCGUGAUCCAUGCGCUGCGCGUCCUGUCGAGCGCCGGGGAGGAUUUCGUGUCGGCUGACGUGAUCGAUGCUUGCUUGCCGUGCGUGCAGAAAAGAUGGCGGCGCGAGAUCAGGCGGCCACAAGUCCCCGUGGUACCAGCGCGCGGUGGAGGUGCUCCUCCUCAUCUGGAAGCAGCCGGCGGCGCCGACGGCGACGACGAAGGCCGCGGCGGCGUCGGGGGUGACGGCGGCCUCAGGCAGGGGCGCGGCGGCGCCGGCGGCGGGGGGGCCCGGGAGGCUGCGGAAGUCGUCGUCGCUGAACGUGGCGGCGUCGUUCACGCGGGUGUGCCUGUGCGCGCCCAUCUCCUCCUACAACAGCGAGUCGCUCUACUGCUUCCAGGCCGACGCGGCGCCGCGGCGGAGCUACAGCUACCCGCGCGCGUCGUCGGCGUCGGCGUCCGGGUGCGGCGUCAGCCCACUGGUGGCCCCGCCGCCGGCCGCCGAGCAGGCCGCGGGUGUCGGCGGUCGAGGGAGGCCGGGCGCGGGCAAGGUCGGCGGCGAGGGCGCCGCGCGGCGGGUGUUCCGGGGCAAGUCCCUGACGGACGACAUCCUGAUGCGGCGGUUCGUGGUGGACGAGGAGGCCACGCGGCGGCGCAACGAGAUGGAGGUGAUCCGGCGGCGCCACGCGGUGGCUACCAAGCGCCGGCGCCUGGGCCCCAGCCCGCUGCGCCGGAUGGCGCUUGCGGAGUCGGAGUCGGAGGCCGAGGAUGAGACGGAAGCGGCGCCAGCAGCGACUGCGGCUGGGAGGGGAACGGACAGUUCCGUGGCAGCGGUAGCGUAGCGUGGCGUGGCGCGGCGAGGCUCUCCCGUGUGAUGAUUUCGAUCGGGUUUCGCCGUCGGCUCUGUGUUUUUUUCUUCCUUUGUCCUUUUCCUCCUCCGCGGUUGCUGCUGUCAUGCGCUGCGAGGAGGAGGAGAUUCUGGAGCAACGCACAGUUUUAAACAGACUAGCGAUCGAGCAGCUAGCGUCGGAUGCCGACGACGAGGGCGCGCGCCUGUGCGCCUGUGACCGCGACCACGUCCGCUCCUGCUCCGUUUCGUUUCGUUCGCGACCGUGUGCCUCUAUCCGUUCCUUCUGCCUGUCCAUCCCGGGCGCACGGGUUGGUUGGUCCUGGCAGGCUGGCACCGGACGCUGACGCUGACGCCGGCGCGGCCGCCGAACGAGGGCGACCGAAUCGGAUGGCGACGAGUUGUCGUGGCGUUUCACCGUGCGCGGCGGGCGAAACGCCUGCCCUGCGACACCGAACGAUCGGGCAGAGUAAAUGAGCGGGCAGCCGGCAGGCAACCGGCGCAACGGCUAGCCGCCGCGCGCUAGCGCGCGCUGGCCUCGGGCGGCCGGGGCUCUUCGCCACUCGCCAGUGAGGGAAGCCGGUGCCAUCCAUCCAGUGGCUCGGUUUGUGCCGUGCACGGUAGUAAAUGCGCGACGCGGCCGGUGCGAGUCGUGUGAGCCGAGACCAAGACGAUCCGUUGGGCACGGUACGGCAGGUGGAGUACAGUAGUGUGCGUGCGUGUACGCGCGGCACAAUUAAGGAGCGAACGGUCCGAAUCGGCCGCCGGUGGCGCGUCACGCUAUUGCUCUCGCGACCGGCGGGAUCGCGAUCGGUGCAGACGAGCUCGUGGCGUGUUAGCAUCAGGAACUAGGGUGGCAUGGCGCGCUUGUUCUCGUCCCGCGUCCCUUAUGACGUCCGUCACGCGCGGCGAAUAUAGCGUGGCCGUUUGAGCGUCUAGGGAGUAGAUGGAACUGGAAGAGAAGAGAAGAGAAGACAAUGCCGGCUGAGCAUCGAGGCCCUGACAGGAACACAACACGCGGAUGGUAGGUAGGUAUCGCUGCACAGGCUGAGAGCCGAGGCCCUGACAGGAACAGGACACACGGAUUGGUAGGCAUCGCUGCAUGGCAGGACCGGAGGAGGGAGCGUUCGGCCGUCGCCGUCGCGGUACGUCGAGCUGUCGGGGACGCGUGCUUCCAUCCACUCUCCCAAUUGUCCGAGCGUGUCGCGGACGAGGCCUAGAAUAUUGGCGUGCAGCGAGGUCCGGCCGGCCCUGCGGAAAAGCAAGGACCAAGGAGUAGUACUUCAUUCGUCCGCGGAUAAUAUGAUCCUCCUCCCGGCUAAUCUAGUUUUAAAAGGUUCGGGAGGGAGAGAGUACAACAAGUAGACGUUCAUGAUUGAUGUCCCCUUUCUUUUGGGCUGGAAAAGCAAAAGAAGCUCUCUUUCUCUCGCUCUGAUUCUCUCAGUCUGAUGGGCGGGCAGCACAGCUGCUGCGGACUGUAAACUACACCGACAUGGCCCACAAGCUUUGCCGUCCAGGUCCACCAGCCUGCACCUGCCUGUAUCCGUAUCACCUCGAGUGGACCCUCGCUCGGUCGUGCAAGCGUGCUUUUCGGAAUUAAUACUCAUUUUAAGCGCGGCGGCCGCGCGGACCCUCCUGGACUUGCCCGUGGGCUUGUUGUUUUCAGAAAGCCCGGAAAGCCCGGAAACGGCGCCCGCUGCUCGACAAAUCUCGUUUGGCAGUUGCGGCCACAGGGCUAGGCUAACAGCCACUAGUGUUAAAUGACACUACAGAAUGUGUGAGGCGAGCUUGUUACACUAGACUGGCUUAUUAUUUCAGAAUAAAUAAACAGGCAUCUUCUGAUGCCACUGUCAAACGAGCUACUGCUACUUGUGUUAGUAUAGGAUAUCAGCUCCACUUGUGUUGGUCGCAACCUUUAUUUUCUAAAAGAAUGCUAGGCCUGCUUUGUGUACAACUCCUCGGGUUUUUUUUAGAGGAACAGUGUUACUCCUUUACCUACUCAUCUUUUUUGGAAGAGAUGUCAUUGGGUUGUAGGACCGAAGAUAGGACCAAAAUAAGGCCCAGGUCGGACUAAAGUCCGCAGUGGGCCAACAUUUGGGUAUUGACCUGUCUUGACUCGGCCCCUUCAUUAGGAUAGGAUCUGAUGAACAUGAUUUUUUUUUUGAGAGGAAAUCUGAACAUGACUAAUCCAAAGACAUGAUGCUACGAGAAGAGAAGGAUGCCUUAGCUCAAUAAUGAGCGAACGGGACAGUCCCAGCCCGCGUAGAAAAAACAUCCUGUACCUAGCAAUGCUGCAUUGGGCCGCUUGCACACGCGAACUGUUAUUUGGGCUCCUUGGGCCGCUUGCUCCGGCCCACUGUCUGGGUCUGUCUGGUUGCGACUUCCUUCGUUUCGGAAGCGCCCGCCGCAGCCAACACGCACACGCGCAGUCAUCAUCUACUACUUGCAGAAGGGGCAAGGAAGACGGGCACCGGGGACGGACGCUGCUUCCAUCCUUCUCGCCUCAAGUAGUCCCGCCGCGCCUCCGGUGUAGUCCCGCCAAAAAGGAAGGCACCUCCCUUCCAGCUCCGCUCCCCAAAUAGUCCCGUCGCGCCUCCGGAGCCAAGCCCACCUUCCCUCGCCGCCGCCGCCGCCAUGGCUCCGCCGGAGGCCUCGCAGCCGCCGCCGCCGGGUAAGGGGAAGGAAAAGAAGAAGGAUGAUAUCGACGAUCUGGUGAGUCCGCUCGUCUCUCGAGAAUUAGGUUAUUUGCUUUAGAUCUGUGGUUUUGUUUCUCCUCAAUGACGUAUUCGAUGUUGCUGGUAUGCUGCAGCCAGAGGAAGAUUUGGCGUUGAAGGAGCAGCUGGAGCUCUACGUCCUGCGCGCGCAGGACGCCGAUCCCGGUGUGCAGAAGCUCGCCCUCGAGAGCAUGAGGUAUGCACUUAACACCCGAUCCAGUUCUUUAGUUCUAGGGUUGUGUUUUGCUGAGUACUGCUGUGACCCAUUUCAGACAGGAAAUCCGAUCUGCCACGAGCUCAAUGACUUCCGUUCCGAAGCCGCUCAAAUUUCUCCGCCCGCACUAUGGAGCCCUCAAGUCCUACUUUGAGACCAUGCCGGAGUCUGAGCUGAAGGUACGUGCGAAGUGCUGAUCACCGAGUUGUGCUGUGAUUUAGAUUGGUUUCAUACAGUACUGAUGCUGCCUUACUGUAUCGCAGAAAUACAUGGCAGACAUUCUAUCGGUGUUAGCUUUGACAAUGUCCGUUGAGGGAGAAAGGGUAUGUGCCUGCUGUGGUGAUUAUCUCCCCCACUGUAGUAGAUGAACUGUUCUUCUUUAGUGGGGAACUCCACUUGACCUCAGGUCCUAAAAUUUUAUUUCCCACAUUUCAGGAGAGUCUGAAGUACCGGUUAUUAGGCUCCGAAGGUGAUAUCGGAUCAUGGGGUCACGAGUAUGUAAGGUAUAUACGAAACUGAAGUAACUAAUAUCUUUCUCCCAAACAGUGAAGUCUAAAUAUUUUGCAUAUAGUUGCUUCAUACUGAAAUGUGGUUGUUGAUUAAGCUCUACGGAGUAUUUCAAUAUCUCAAUUUUUCUGUUGUCAGUUUAUGUGCUAUUUUUGUUUCAAUAUUGUUGGAUUCUAAAGGAAUAAUUUUAUACAGAAAUUUGGCUGGCGAGAUUGCACAAGAGUUCCAUAAGCGUCAGGUUGCCCUCUCACUCAUCCUAUAAUAGAAUUCUUGAAUCCUUUUGUGUGGGUGUCAUCCAUAACUUAGCAUACCUGGUUCUUCUGUUUAACACCCUUUUAAAGUUCUAAACUUUGUUGUUUGGUUGUUUCUUAGUCUUAAUAUCCUAUCGCAUCUAACCUCUGGUAAUCAAUAUCUUUUUUAUUAUCAAAAUUUUAGAAUGUUGAAUCGCACAAGUUAGAGCUUGUAGUGUUGAUUGCUGAAUAGUUGAAAAUCACAAUGUGUCUUAAUUGAUAUUAUAAACAAUUGCAUUUCAUUCCUUCCUGUCUCAUUAUAUUUAUUCUCCCUCAUUAUCUACCUUUUUUUUUGAGUCCCAUGCACCUCGUAACAACGAUCAAAUUUCAUUGCAAAUAGCUGCAAAAUUUUUAGUGUUGCUUGUUCUUGUUUUAUUUCUCUUAUAGUGGACUGCAAUAUGGAAUUAAGUAGUGGACCCUGUUUGUUCUGUUCCAUUAUUUAACUUUCAAACCUCUAAUGCUGGUUUUCAUUGUUUCCAGGAUGAUGACUUGCCCAUUGACGCCCUAAUGGAGCUUGUGCAGCAAAUUAUUUCAUUUCACAUGAAGGUUUGUUCGGAUUAGAGUUCAUGGUUGAAUGUUUAUUUAUUCUGUUCAUCUUGAACAAUGUUGUUUUAGUUAUGCUAAUUUUGUUUCUAUCUUUCGUUGAUUUUUAGCAUAAUGCUGAACCUGAAGCUGUAGAUCUUGUGAUGGAGGUACCUUCAAUCCUUAAAUUACUUGUUUCUUCUCAGAGCACACUCCAAAUAUUUCUUGCUAAUAAAUAGAUGCAUAAAUUUCAUUUUUUGUAGGUUGAAGACCUUGAUUUGCUAGUUGAGCAUGUGGACACUACAAACUACAAAAGAGCUUGCUUGUAUCUUACUAGUUCGUCCAAGUAUGAAUCUCUUUUAUCACUUGUGUGCUUUUCUAUUGUAGUGCUUCCGCUCUCCAUUUUGUAACCGCUGUGGAACCUAGAUAUACAUGAAUUUCUUGAAAUUAAACGAACACUUUUCUGUGCCUAAAUGUGAAACUUGCAGAUUUCUUCCUGCUCCAGAUGAUAUGUUGGCGCUUGACAUAGCAUAUACCAUCUACAUGAAGUUUGGAGACCUUGCAAGUGCUUUGAAAAUUGCCCUUCAACUUGAAAAAGUGAGUACAAGAGUAUCUCAUGCCAUACCACCUCAUUUAGCAACCAAAUCCAUAUUAACACGUUUAAAUAUCUGUAGUCCAUGCAGUAUGUGAAGCAAGUCUACACAUCAACUGAUGAUUUUCUGCUCAAGAAACAAUUCUCAUACAUCAUAGCACGCCAUGUAAGCCCCCCCUCUGCCCCCAGUCUCCUCUCUGUAUAUCAGAUACCAUAUGUGCACAUAUAUUCAAUCAUGGCAACUAAUCAGCGCAUGACACUGAGAUGCACCUCAUUAUGAGCUUGUUUCCCCCCUGGUUUUGAACCAUCAUUUCUCUUCUUCUGAAGGGUUUGGCUAUGGAGAUUGAUGAUGAGAUAGCUGCUGAUGACAAUGAUAAGGAGGUUUUGCAAGAAAUAGUUAAUAAUACUAAGCUGAGUGAGGGAUACCUUACUCUUGCUCGCGAUAUUGAGGUCAUGGAGCCUAAAUCUCCUGAGGAUAUAUACAAGGUGAUGUAUAUUUUACUGCUUACCAUAUUUGUGGUGGCGCUAGUCAUCCAUAAUAAUUGUGGUUGUGCAAUUUGUAGGUCCAUUUGAUUGAUGGCCGUGGUGCCAGCUCCAGUCUUGAUUCUGCAAGACAGAAUCUGGCUGCUACAUUUGUCAAUGCAUUUGUGAAUGCUGGGUUUGGCCAUGUUAGCUUUUGAGACAAAACUGUUGCUUGUGGUCCAAUUUGUGAGAAAAUAGUGCAUCUUAAGUUUUUUCUUUUAUAUAUUUUUUGCGCAGGACAAGUUGAUGACUGCUCCAUCUGAUUCGUCCAGCAGUGGGUCUUCUGGAAACUGGUUAUUCAAGAACAAGGAACACGGGAAAGCCAGUGCAGCGGCUAGUCUGGUACAAUUACAGUAUUCAUUAUGUUUUAUUUAACCAGAAAAAUCUUGUUAUAUUUGAACUAUCCAAUAAUAGUUAAAUAACUUCUUGUUUCCAGGGAAUGAUUCUCCUGUGGGAUACUGAUUCUGGGCUUGCUCAGCUUGACAAGUACUUGCAUAGUAAUGACACUCAUGUUGUUGCUGGAGCUUUGCUAGGUAUUGGAAUUGUCACAUGUAGCGUGAAGAAUGAUUGCGAUCCUGUAUGUGCUUAGCUCAUCUUGCUCUCUUCCUGCCUUCAUCUUCGUUUUCACCCAUCUAAUACCCUAACCUUUCUGCCAGGCGCUUGCUAUUCUCAUGGAGUAUAUUGGCAAGGAUGACUCAAACAUCCGUAUUGGGGCAAUAUUGGGUCUUGGAAUUGCAUAUGCUGGUUCCCAGAAAGAAGAGGUGGGAAAUUAUUGCUUUGUCUUACUGUCACAACUAUUGGCUAUAUGUUUCUUAUAUUUAUAUUGUUUUGCAAAUUUCAGCUUAAAACGCAUCUAUCUGCUGUGUUGGGAGACCCCCAAUCACCUCUCGAGGUCUUGGUUUUCUCAGCCAUUGCCUUGGGACUGGUGUUUGUCGGUUCUUGCAGUGAAGAGAUUGCACAGCCUAUCAUAUUUGCCUUGAUGGAACGUAGUGAGGCUGAGUUGGGAGAGCCCAUUAUACGGUUGCUUCCCGUUGCGCUUGGCCUCCUAUAUCUUGGAAAACAGGUAAUUUUAAGUAACCUGGAGAGAUAGUUCUGAUUUCAAACUUUUGCAAUUUUGUUGAGUAGGUUAUAAUAUUCAAACAAGUUGCUGGUUAAGCAUAUCCAUCUGGGGUAUAUUUCUGUUUACCCUGUUGCCACAUGCCACUUUCCAAAUGUAGUCUAGAUGUAUGUCCCUGCCCUUUUACAGGUCACUUUAGUGACUCUCAAAGAUGUGCUUAGCUAACAGAAUGCUGAUACCCAAUUCCUAUUUCAGGAGAGUGUAGAGGCUACUGCAGAGGUCUCUAAAACAUUUGAUGAGAAGAUAGGGAAGUACUGUGAUGUAACGCUUAUGUCAUUGGCAUAUGCCGGGACAGGGAAUGUGCUUAAGGUAUUUAAUAUUUUCCUUGAAAUGAUUUCUAGCCACUUCAAACUUGUAAAUGUUUCCAAUUCUGCUUGCAGGUUCAGAAACUUCUUGGCAUUUGCUCACAGCAUCUUGAGAAAGGCGAAACACACCAAGGGCCAGCUGUCCUUGGAAUUGCUCUUAUUGCUAUGGCUGAAGAAUUAGGAGCUGAAAUGGCUGUUCGUUCACUUGAGCGUCUCUUGCAAUACGGCGAGCAGAAUAUUAGACGGGCAGUUCCUCUUGCCCUUGGUAUACUCUGCAUAUCUAAUCCCAAGGUAUGUGGAUCUGGUCUUAUAUACUAACUCUCUGAAAUGUGAAAUCCUGCUCAAAUCAUUAAAUGCCUGAUCAGUGAAGUGGAAAACUUGGAUUUCAUUAAAACUGCAUUAAUACUUUAAUCCUUUUGGAGGUUUGUAAAUUGGCCAAAUUGUGUUACAUGUGCAUGGAAAUGUCCCUCUAAUGACUAAUGAGACCAUGUGAAUGCAGUUGCUGCAUGUUAAGUGGAGUACUAACCUAUUUGAUGCACUUGCACCAACCAGUGCACACAACAAAGCAUGUGUGCGUGCUGUCUUGAUAAAUUAUUGGCAUUUUUUAAGAAAUACUGUUGACCAUAAAGCCUAUAUAUGUUUGGUCUGAGGCUAACUUUGUUAUUUGUUCUCGUAAUUUAAAACUUUCGUUCUUAAAUACUGUUAAUAUAGGCCCAGAAUUGAAUGCUUCAAGUUGGAUCUAGUGCCAUAUUAUAGAAUAAUCAUAUCAAAGCAAGACAGAAUUUACUUUAAGACACUAUGACGUGUGUAAAAUUUUGCACGGUGGCCUCGUUAUUGGUGGUGUGGCCAUAUAUCUUCACUGUAAUUUUUAUAUUGUAAACCAAAUUGUGAUCUACAUCAUGCAAGGUUCUUACCUUUGUACUAUGCAGUUUCUUGUUGCUUAUUUUUCUUUUGAACCAUUAAAAUAGUCAGUUUGGGUAUGUGAUGAUUUGAACAUGUAUGUAGUGGUUGUUCAGCGGUGCAUUCACUUGAAUAGGUUGCAUAAUUUUGCAAAACUGUAUACCCAAUCAGGCAAGAUUGCGUUUCUAAUACUUGCCAUCUCAGGUUAAUGUGAUGGACACAUUGAGCAGAUUGAGUCAUGACGCAGAUGCUGAUGUGUCAAUGGUUCGUAUUUUUUACAUUUUUUUACCUACCCGUUCCUUUCUUACUUAAUCCUCUAUAUCUUACAUCCUAAUUAAAAUUUCUCCAGGCUGCAAUCAUCUCAUUGGGUUUGAUUGGUGCUGGGACAAACAAUGCCAGAAUAGCUGGCAUGCUUCGCAACCUUUCAAGUUAUUACUACAAAGAAGCUGCUCAUCUGUUUUGUGUAAGUAUAGCUCCACAAUGAUCAUUUGGCAUCCAUUUACUAUAAUUGUUUCUUGGUUGUGUUUAAGUUGCAUGUGUUGAUUAAUUUUGUUGUGUUCAUCAGGUAAGAAUUGCUCAGGGCCUCGUUCACCUUGGAAAGGGCUUGUUGACCCUUUCUCCAUACCAUUCUGAUCGGUUUCUUCUUUCCCCGUAAGUGACUAUAUCUGAACACCCAAUUCACAUGUGAAUGCCACUGGAUUACACUUCAAUCUUUUUUUCUGUUUUCCUUUUGGUCUUUCUAGGAUGGCACUGGGAGGACUUGUAACUGUUCUGCAUGCCUGCCUUGAUAUGAAGUCCACCAUCCUAGGGAAAUAUCACUACAUCCUUUACAUUAUUGUCCUGGCAAUGCAGGUAUGUUUCAGUAGUCAAUUGCCACAAAAUCUAUCAAUGCAAUAGAAAACUGUUGGGUAUUGUGGUUGAACUCUACUCUGCUUACUUACACAGCCUCGAAUGCUGUUGACUGUGGAUGAGGAUCUGAAGCCCCUGCCUGUUCCAGUCCGGGUUGGGCAAGCUGUCGAUGUUGUUGGUCAGGCAGGAAGGCCCAAAACAAUUACGGGCUUCCAGACACAUUCCACACCUGUCUUGCUUGCAGCUGGGGAGCGUGCUGAACUAGCUACUGAAAAGUAAUAAUGAAUUUUGAACUAAUAAUGUGUUAUACACCAUCUGUAUACGUUUCUCCCAGGAAAGCUAAUUACUGUUGGUUUGCGAUGUGCAGAUACAUUCCACUGACACCAGUACUGGAGGGCUUUGUAAUUCUCAAGAAAAACCCAGAAUAUCACGAGGAGUGAAAGACUGCCUGAUCGAUAUGAUGCUGAUUUCUGGCUCGCCUGCACUGCAACCUCAUAAGCCCCGGUGGCGGUCCUAUGUGGACCCUUGUUAUGCCCUUCCAUCUCUUGCUCGGCAUUUCCUGGUGGUUCAUCAAAUAGAGUUGUAGCUUUUCACACCAGAGUCGUAGCCGACAUAAUCGCAUGUUUGUGGUUGUGUGAUGACAUACCACUUGGGUAUGCACACCGGGACGCGUAGGUGUUAGUGCUGCUGUCUACUUUUACCGCCAGCUUAUUUGUAUAUCUAUGUACCGGAAAUUAGGAAUUACUGAGCGCAUGUUUAGAACUGACUCAUUAAUACGGUGGUGCACAGUGGCAUUUUUUUAGCUUUUUGACUCGUGUGAUCUUUUGUUUGAUAAGUUGUACUCCCUCUAUCUCAAAUUAUAAAAAUUAUAAGUUAUUUUAACUUUUUAAAAUUUAUAGGUUUCAUGUACCUAAAUAUAUAUUAUCUCUAGAUGCAUAGUAAAUAGUAUGAAUCUAGAAAAAUUAAAACGAGUAGCAUUAUAAUUUGCACCUGUUAUAGCAGUUUUGUUGUUGGCUCGUUCAGGAACGGUGCUCUGGAUCUGGAUAGUCGUGUUGUGAAAUGUGAACUCGUGAGGCUCUAAUGCUGUGCAUUCAGUGUGUGUUUGGUUCGGAGACAAGGAGUGAUGGGACGGUCCGACCUAAUUUUUCGGGAUGGGAUCGUCCUGUCUGAUGUUUGGUUGAGAGGGAUAGAUUCAUCCUAAUUUUUUGUUUGGUACGAUGGAUUGAAAAUAAGGGACGGAUGUCCUGGGUAACACCGUUAGCUGCAGGUUUUAGUAGGAUCCACAUGUCAUCCAUGGGCCCACGUGUCAUCUUUUUCCUCUCCUCAACUUUAUCUUCUCCAACUGGCCCCCUUCUCCCAAUCCGCCAGCGCCAGCUAGCUCUCGCGCCCGCCGGCCUGAGGUCCCGGUCGCGCCGCCGAAGCAGCUCCCGCGGCCACCGGCCCUGGCUGUCCCGCCCCCUAUGACGGGCUUCGUCGGAGGCGGGUCGGGCAGCGCCGCCCCCGCCAGGCAUGGAGGGGCUCGCGGAGCUUGCCCCCCGUGCCAUGGAGGCCCGCGCAGCUCGCCCCCGCCGGCCAUGGAGGGGUCGCGGAGCUGGCCCCUGCCGGCCAUGGAGGCCCGCGCUCGCCGCGGAGCUCGCCCGCCGCCGGCCCUUCACGCUCGCCCGCAGAGCUCGCCCGUCAGAUGGGAGGCGACGGCGUUGAAGUGGGACGAACCCGUCCGCUCGUUUUUGCCGGACGGGGGCGUCCCGAAUCUUUGAGGUAUAUUCUCUUGUAGGGAUGUCUCCGUCCCACCUGUCUUCAAACUAAACACGGGAUGAAGUGGGAUCGUCCCAUCCCGUCCCGUCCCGUCCUCAGUACCAAACGCACCCUCAGUGUCUUGCUGCUGCUGCUGCUGCUGCCCCACACUGGAUGACAUUUAAGACCGGGCCAAAUCUAGUAGGCCGAAAGCCGCGAAAAAAGAAAAGAAAAAUGGGUUGAAUUCCGCCGGCUCAUAACUGGGCUACAAGCCCAUCCGCGCGCCAGUUGACAGAAUAACCAUGAACAACAAGGAGAGAGAAGCAGAGACAGCAAUCAUUCAGCUUCAUCCAAUGCUUAGAAGUUGUCCUAAAUCUUACAUAGCUAAGAACACAUAGUACAUUGAUUGCUGAUAGAGAGUCAGAGACAGGAUGGUUUGGAUGCAUUGUACAACCAAAGCACCUUUGGCUGGGGAAAGCCAGAGACUCUCCUGAAUGGACUUCUUUGCAUAGGCAGUCGCUAGGAGCAGCUAAACCAAAUGCUAUAUACUCCUGGUGCCGUCGUGUCAUGGCCGGGGCGCGCAGCGGCCGACGGCGUAGCGUAGCCCGGCGAUCAUAGUCACAGCUUGGAGUAGAGCUGCGGCGUGCACCACUUGAAGAAGGUCCCCGUGGGGAGCUCCGCGGGCGGCAGCAGCGCGAGGCGCGCGCCGACGUCGGCCACCUCCUCGGCAGUGCGCUUCCCCCAGCCCUUGGUCAUGUCGGUGCGCGUGAACCCGGGGCAGAAGCAGUUGACGCUCACGCGGGCGCCGCGCGCCUGCAGCCGCCGCGCCAGCACCCGGGAGUAGGCGUUGAGGGCCAGCUUGGAGACCGAGUAGUCCGUCCACACCUUGGGCCACCCCUGCCCGCCCCACGUCCCGUCCUUCACCUGGGACAGGAACCGCGACACCAUGGACUCGAUCGCCGCCUCCGUCAGGGUGUCCUCGUCCAGGAGCAGCGCCGUCAGGGACGGGUCGCUCACCUUCUGCACAAAGAAUCCAUGCAUGGAACCAAAAAUUUCAGGCAAUUUUGAAUUGGCACUUUUCUUGUUAUAGCACAGAAACGAGUGACUAGGAUUCUACUACAGUACUACACAGGUACUACAUGGUGUAGACUGCUGCUGCUGCUGUAAAUUUCCCUUUUUGGUCAGCUGACGCGUACACACUAGAUGAGAGCCACUGACGUCCUCCUGCUGUUACAAUUUUUUCUUCCCUAUUAUCGUCACCUUGUCCUCUAUUUCAAAUGUCUUACUAUUUCCAGCCUCUGCACAAUAAUUCAAACGGCCUUAGAUAUGUAGAUGGUGCUGACAAUGUACGAGUAGCUAGUGGCAGGGUACUGCAUUUCGAUGCGAUAUGCUUCAAGAUAGAAUUCAUACUUGUCAAGAUGUCCACAGCUAGGUCGCCUCGUCGGUUCACACUUCAAGAUCAUCCAAUUUUUUCUUUAACUAGCUGCUUCUGUUAUUAUUUACUGAUGUGGGCUCAUGUGUUGUAUGCUGUGAAUACCAAUGAUUCAGUUUGGUCCAAUAACAAUGAAGUCAAUAAAUUUUCAUCAAACCAGAGCCUGCACAUGAUAGUUUACACCUUUCAAGUUCAGCUUGGCUCUUACACGCAGAAGGUAACGACACCGAUGGUUUUCACUAUUAAUUCAAGCUCCUCAAGUGAUAAGAUUCAGAAGUUGACUAUGGGCGACUAAAUCUCUCAGGCUAAUAGGGUUUGAAAUAAUCUCAGAAACUUUAGUCUUUGGGUCACUAUCAUCGAUCAACUUUUCCUUGCACCUACAAAUGAUACGUGAGGUACAACAAAGAAGCACACAGAGGCAAUGCGCUGUACAUGCUAUAAUCCUCAUCUACUUCUGUUGCACAGGGUAGCUCUGUUUUUAAAUACCCGCAAAAAAAAUAUGUUUUUAAAGCUCCUGAAGUAGUCUUCAUUUAUUGAUUCUAACGGUGUGACGAAUAGGGUCACAAACUCACAAUAAAACGUUAUAUUUGUUUCAGAACGAAAGCAGUAAUAGUAAGAUUGCUAGGUCAUCUGAAGAAAUACUGUAAAAGAUGAGGCACUUACAUUGAGAAGGCCAAGCUGCGAGCUGAUGUUGAGGAUCCUGCUAGUGGCCGGCGACUGCCGGAACAGAGGCAAGAGCGCCUCGGUGAGCAUCUUGGCGCCGUAGAAGUUGGUCCUGAGCACCGUCUCGGCGUGCUCCACCGAGUUUGUGUCGAUCUCGUUGAAGGACACGGCGGCGUUGUUCACCUGCACACAGCAACGAGACAGAGCAAAAAGACGAAACUUGAUUUCAGCACCACCGGAAAGUUCAGUGACCUCCUCCAAAGAGCAAAAGUGGAGCCGUUGGAGGGUCUACAACUGCAACAGCUCUUUCCACGAUAGCUUUUCAAGUGCCAGAGCAACAAUUGGCAACAGCACUAGCACCCACUGGCUGGUAUGUGGUGAUUCGCGACGACGACGAUGACUUUCCCUCUCCAUCGGGAGUGUCGAGUCUGAACUGGACUUGUGGGAAAGCUCCCGGUUUGAUGUCUCGGUGGGCUACGGUAACCGGAUAGAGACCGCUUGGACUGAAACCUUGAAAAAUCCAAACUCGACUCGAGUGCACAGCGAAUGGUCUCAUUAGUGAGUAAUUCAGGGAAUGGACCGGCACUCGAGCCAUGAUUGACGCCAGCACACCUAGCCUGACCCUGGCCCAGACUCUGGACUGUUCACGCCAAUAGCUCCUCAACAGUAGACCUUGGCUCAGGCAGGACAGCACGAUCGUGCCAUCGCAUCCAAUGAUUGGGGCCUAUCAUCUUAUUGCAGAGGUCACAGCCAGGGUGAAAACUAGAAAGUUGGUUCGUUCGAGUAACAUGUUGCCCAUGCUAGAAGUUGCGAGAACUUGUGUGGCCGAUGAUCGCUAUCACUAGCUAGCCCGAUGCAGGGCCGCAGCCAGAGCCAAGGCGAAAGCUACAUGAACCUAAACAGUAGGAUUUCGCAUCGAAAUCCUACGAUUCUCUCCAAAUCCGUCGCGGUCGAGUGCCCAGUUUGGUCUCUCCGGACUCCGGAGCCAAUCGAGAGUUCGCAACAAGCUGACCCCUGCUCGUCAGCCGUCACGGAACAGGCCGUCGCUGUCCGUCGGCGCCGUGGCGGGAGGCGACCGACGAACGAGGACGAAGGGAAGGCAUGCAGGAACCGGAAGGGCAGGUCGUCGGGAGGUGGCGGCGGCGGCGUACUAGUUGGGUGGCCCGGCGCGGCUUUUGGCCACACGCUCUGCCCCCUUCCUUUGGGCCGGACCGGACGCGAACGCGACGUGACGGUUUGAUUCGUCUGGUCGCUGGCGUGCGCGCCGGGGCCGGGGCCGGGGCCGGGCGGGCGUGGGCGUGGUGGGACGUCGUCACUGCUGCCGUGCUGCGGGAGGCGCGGGCGCCCGCGGCAAUAAUGCCGGCCGGUGUGUAAUGGGAUGGGAUCAUGGGAGACGAGACGGGGAUCCUGAUCCGGAGCGAGGCCCGCCUGCUGAAGCCCUGAGCUAUUAAGGGGUCGCGACACGUAUCGAGGGGGCAGUGGAUGCGGGUGCAUGUCUGCUGGUGUGUCGUACGUCAAGGGGAUGGAUCAUGGUUACGGAACUGUUUGGCGUCUGGGCUAUGGAGAGCGGAGACCGGGCGCGUGCCGGCGGCUUUCCUGCUGAAAUCUUUCCAGAGGAGCCGCGCUCUCUCUCCGUCCGUAACACAGCGCGAAAUCGACGGGGUGGUUGGUAAGGGGGCGCUUUGUUACCACGCUUACCAGGAUGUCGAGGCCGCCGACGGCGUCGCGGAGCCAGGCGGCGAACUCGGCGACGGAGUCGGGGUCGGAGACGUCGAGCCUGCGGAAGGCGACGGCGAGCCCGCGCUCGCGGAGCGGCGCCGCGGCGGCCUCCCCGCGCGCGCCGUCCCGCGCGGUGAGCACCACGGUGAGCCCGUGCUCGGCCAGGCGCGCCGCCAGCGCGUGCCCGAUGCCCCGGUUCGCGCCCGUCACCACGGCCACCGUCUCCCUCGACCACCAGGCCCUGCGCGCGCGAGCGGAGACGCGGAGUCAAGCGAAGCUAGCGGCCAAGCGACAGAGGCAGGCACGCCCGCCGGGAGCUGAGCACAAAGAAUGCGCGCGAGCUGGACGAGUGUGCAAAAGGAGGUGGUGAAAGGUUACCCGGCCGGAGGCGUCUCCUUGGUACUCGAGAAGUCCAUCGCGCGCAGCGGAGAGCAAGCUCGGGGGGCGCCCUCCUGCUGAGGUAAGGCGACGCGGGCGUGCGGGGAGCGCGCGGGGUGGCCGUCGGGGGCAGGGAGACGGAGGAGAUAUUUAUACACGCGCGCGCCGGGCCGCUGGCGCCUCCGAGUCAGACGGCCGGAGCGCGCGGGCCACAGGCUGCAGCCUGCAGCUGCCGCCUACAGGUACACACGCGAGUUGGGAGCUCGGGCCGGCUCAGGCUAGUGGACAGCCACUCGACUCGAUCCAGACUUCCAGAGCACAUGACUACUCUACAUGAGUUGCACAUGCGGCGCGCGCGCGCUCGUACCUGCUCCGGCACCGGGUGUUUGUUUUUGCCGGCGAGGCGGCGACGAGCGUGCACGAUCGAUUAUUCAACCCGUUUGGUAUGUACGCGCGCGCCAGCCACUCCGCCGGGUGACCUCAUCCCGCAGUCCCGCCUGCCCCGGCCGUCAUGUCACGCCCUGCAAAACAAACCAAAAGAUAAGACCCGGUGGGUGCCACGAUUUGACGGGCGAGCGGCGCCGCGCUAGAUGCCGCUAGCAAAUUUUAAUUCCAUAGCCUGCAGUUGUAGCUGCGGCGCUCGAUUUGAUCAGCAGACGGCAACAUCUCCGACGGCGUAACGAGAAGUUCGUUUUGGGACUGCGUGGGACAACAGCAUGCGUCGUCUCUUUGUGGGGGCGUCAACCAGUGCAGUUCGCGGGUCCAUUCGCGAUGAAGAGAUUGCGUGCGUGCCACAAGUCUGUCAGGCGACAGGGUAACCACUAAGGUCUACUAGGGCACAGUAGUUAAUCGUAACCGGCGAGUGGGAUUCACUGUCACGGGCCAGCAUUAGAAUGUUAGGUGGUCGCUAUUAGUAGCAGGCUAGCAGCGCUGCACUACUGGCCGCCGAGGAUGGACGGAGAUGGCAUAGUUUAGUCACUUAGUGGCAACGCCGACCAUGCGUUCGGCGACCCCGGCAUACAAAAAUGCCCCCGUCGUGGAGCAGCUCAACGGCACCUGAUCCAAUUCAGCUAGAAAGGCGCUUUGCCUAACCAGGCAGGACUUUCCGCUCGCGUCGGGAACCAGUUUGAUGAUUCCAGUGUGAGACACAGAGCGUGAUUGGUUGCAGUUCAAGGAGAGGUUCAGGAUGGUGACGAGAUUCAGGCUCAUCGUGUCCAGUACAGAAGUAUACAUACAGACUUGAUUGGUUUGCGUAUAGUCUGAGCUAGGAUGGAGAGAGUUGUUGAUUGGUUGCUGCAUGAAAGGCUGCUUUGUGUGGCUGCAAGUGGAGCCUAUUAUCUUACCUGUAUCAUCUUAUCCUGGCUCGCGAGAGAAGACCAAAUUUUACGUGCAAUGCUGGUCAAGAUGGAGGGGGAAUCCGAACGAGAUCAUGCAGCAAAAAUAUGCAGGUCUAGCAACUAAUCAAAACUAACCUGCACCGUGUGGAGCUGGAUGGUGCGUUGGAUGGUGCGAGCUGGGCUACCAAUCACGCCCUGAGAGACUGAGCGCAGCCAGUUUGAUGAUGAUUCCUCCGGCUCUCCCGGCAGCCUACGGCACAUGAACGGGGCCCGCGACGUGUGCGUGUGAUCGGUCCGGCUAGCUUUGGUCACCAGGUGUGAAAUGAGACGCCUGAUGGCGACGCUUGUUCGGUGAUCUCAAAGACCCAAAGACCCCGAACAGGUCGCGAUCUCGGGUGCCGGCCUGCCUGGGCUGUCCAUGAUGGCAUCAUCUGCCGAAUCCGAGCCCGUGGCUGGCCCGAUCCGAUCAAUCCCCGGGCUCCAGAGCAGCUGCCCGCGAGGCCAGUGGCGACACCACUUGGCGUCAUGACGGGCACGUAAUCCGCCGUAGUAACACGCUACGGUUCGUCAAACCCGGCAUCAUUGUCGGGGGGCUAAAAUUUCCUCCGGGGAACGCGUCCUGGGGUCGUCGUAAAUCGGUGGAAUUCCUUGUCCAGGGCUAGGGACCAGCAAAAUAGCAAGACGUUUCGACGCAGCCUCACCGAAAUUACCCUCUGUUUCUUUGCUGCCACCGGUGAAAGUUUGGCUUGCUUUGUGAAAGAGGAAACUUCGGCUAAGGGUGAAACUAGCCUCGGUGUCACGUCCAGAGAGUAGUUAUCCAAGCACCAAGCCAGCCAAGGUCAUGGGGCAAAGUGGCCACGGCAGAAAAGCACAGCCUUUAACCUCGGCCGCGGGGCAGUCACACGUACGGGAAGAUUGGGCCUUGUCGCCGGUCAGUCAAGAACUCGAGAUGUUAAUCGUGAUAGCUCAGUGGUUUGGCCAAUUUAUUGUUGCCUGAUGGAUCACGGAGUUGGCUGAUCCGCUGAUGUGCUUGUUUCUUCUUUCCGGGGGAAAAAAAAAGGAUUGCUGAGUGCUGGCUCGACUGAUGUCUUUCUCGAACAAACUUUGAGAAAAGAAAGUUCGAGCAAUCCACGACCAAAUUCGAAUGUAUGGGAGAUACUGAACAAGAAAUGAGGAUAGUUCGCUGAAAAGUAGUGUCAUGGUGAAAUCGCUGUCACGAUCUUACUUUGCCAAAGAAUGAAUCACCGUAUCUGACAGGCAAUCAGGAGAGUGAAAUUUCACAUCCGAUGGUGCUUGCCACUUCAUCUGUUUCAGCUACAUGGAAAGAAAUCCGGAUGAUUCAGAUUGAAAAUUCGUGGUUUGAGAUUCAACUGACGUAUCGCAUUCCAGAUUUCAGACACAGUGGCAAAUGUGCUACCGAAAUCUCGGUUCUCGCCAGGAAAUUCUCAGGUUCAAUGCGCUGCUACAGUGCUACCUGAAUUAGCUGGUAAACCAGAUCUCGUCAGAAAUUCAGACUAAGUCACUCCUUUGGAGGCUCAAAAUGACAAGGAGUUGAUUUGACUGCAAUUGCACAUUCAUAAUAUGUAAUCGCGUUACAACAUAACAAUAUGAUUUUACAUCACGCUACAUAAACCAAUAAACGAAUAACAUAACAAUUUCUCAUCCCAUCCUCACGCACAUAGUUCUAUCAGUAGAACAACACCCGACGCUAGUUUUUUCUCCUUCCAAGAACUCAUGGUUCUCAGUUCAUCUUCUCGCGACCCAUAAGCGAAGGCCGAUCACACACUUCAGACCUGGAAGGGCCACGGCCAGGUGCUGGUGCCGUCCUCGCCGCCGACCUUGGCGCUGCGGCGCAGCGGGUUGCCGCCGCACUCCCUGUCGACGUAGGCGUAGUACCUGAGGACGAAGGCGAGCGCGAGGGCGACCCACUCGAGGCAGAAGAUGGCGACGCCGAGCCCUCCGACCAUGCGGAGGAUGACGGCGCCGUCCUCCUCGCGGACGUACGACUUAAGCCCGUCGGAGAGGAAGUCGGCGGUGCGGGAGAAGGCGAGCACGGCGGCGGCGCCCUGCAGGAUGGAAACGACGACGGUGGCGGACAUGUGGACGGUGUAGCAGCGGCCCCGGGGCGGGUCGGGCGCCGCGAUGACGGCGCACCCGGCGACGGCGGCCGCCACGGUGAGCGCGUGGAGGAGGAUGAGGAGGAAGCCGUCGACGGAGGGGACGAGGCGGAGCGACAGCGUGAGGAAGCCGCACCCGGAGGCGCAACCCAGGAUGAGGUAGUUGGAGACGAGGAACGCGCGGCGCGCGCGGCGGUGCUGCGGGGAGGCGGAGUCCCUCGCCGGGGGAGCGAUCACCGACAGGCCGCCCAUGGCGUCUCUCUCUUGCGCGCGCGGGGACGGCGACUGAUGAGGGCGAAGGGAGCGAAGAGCGAGGGGAUGGGGAGGAGGCGCGAGGAGAGGGAGAGUGGAGGGCAGUGGAGUGGAGUGAGGUGAGGAGGAGGGCAAUGGCGGAGAGGUUUAAAUGGGGGUGGGGGGAUUGGAUCCGACCGUUUGAGAGAGGAGACGGGGACGGGCGCAAGGCAACGCGCGCAACGGCUAGUUUGGAAAGCGAGGGCGCGGCCGGCCGUUGGAGGCGCGCGGCCAAGCUGGCUUUACCGUGGCGUGGACUGGACUGAGCCGGGCCCGCGUGUCGGUAGCGAGCAGCGAGCGACGCCUCGCAGCGGGGUAGGGCAUCUUCCCGUUGCUUGCGACUUUGGCAGCUUCCUGUGGACCCCGCUUCGAAGAAGAAGCUUCUCGUGAGCCGAAUGUGGCUUGAGCUUAAACAAAACGUUGCAAGUAACAACAAUCAUUCUGUUUUUACUAAAAUCGUUGGUUGAUUUUGAUAUUCGAGAGGUGGUGAAAUGGGGAUCCGCGCAGAUUAGCGUUGCAGAGCUUCGCGGUAACUGGCAACGUGGGCCGAUGUGAUUAAUUUGUCGAGGGUUUGGGCCUAGGAUUUCCGUACGAACACUAGCAUCCUCGUAUUGGACCACCUACGGCACCAGAUCUGCCGAGGAGCCCAUGGAAGUGAUAAAUGCUAGGCCCAGUAAGAAAUAACAUAUUAACGUCACGGCGCAGCAAAACGAAACACACACACAAAAAUCACAACAUUACUUUUGUCUGAGCCCAGGUUCGAACUGGGGACCUUUAGUGUGUGAGACUAACGUGAUAACCAACUACACCACCCAGACAUUGUGGACAAGGAGAAAAGAAAAUUUUAUUUACCUGCUAUAUCUAAUCUAGACUCCGCCUAGAAUUUCAGGCCAUCCAACUUUUGCAAACACAAGUACUGUUGUCAUCAGACAAUCCAAUUAGGUAGGUUUAUGCGAGAACAAGCUUUUACAUAGAGAAUUUCAUGGCAUGGCCUGCGCUUCCUAGAAAUAGCUAGUGUACUCUAUCGUGGGAGCUACCCUUCGUCACGCUUUUAAGUUAAUAUUUGUAUAAAACUUUAACAUGUUACAGAGAGACUAUAGUAGCAGAUAAGAGAAUGCGAAAUGGGGGCAAUUGUAUGAUUGUCCUACUUUGAACUCUAAGUACUGCUUUUUUCCCCCUAAUUUCUGAGUUUGCACCUUGAAAUGGGAGCAACCAACUAUAGUAUAAUUUUACUUGCCAUUAUAUAAGACCAUAAGUCAUCGAAUAAUUAACUGAAGUACCUAAUGAGAUGUAAAGUUUUCUAUUCUAGUACUGAAAAGAUAAAAUAGUACAUGCUGUAUAGUUGUGUUUCCUCAUAGUUCAAUGUUAAAAGGAAUAUGUUUCUAUUCUAGCAGAGUUAGGUUUCAAAAUUGACUUUGUUUUUCAGCUUAUGGGUAUAUGUAGGAUAGUGGAGCUCGCUCUAGCAACGGCUCUAUUUAGGGCAUUACUAGCAUUUAAGGUCCAAUACCAAGCUAUUGGCAAAGCUUCCGUGAGAGCGUAUCACAAGCUUCUGUGAGAACUGUAGAUAAAUGCACAAAUUUGUUACAGAUGGGCACGCGACUAGCCGGCCAAAACCUGAAAGGCUGAAACAGAGAAACGAAGAAAGGGCUUUUGAAGUGUGAAGUGUAUAAAAAAACAUAACAGUUUGAAUUCCCAAUGUUUCAAAUACCGGCACCAAACCUCUACGGUACAACAAUUUAACAAUCGACUUGCAUGCUGCUUACAAGUCGCAUGACGCAAUACAAUUUAACCAAGCCCUCCAAUCGUUCAUAGCACUCGAGAACAACAUCAUGGUAACCGGAAUUCAAACAUUCGGAAGUAUUCUGAAUUCAAUAGUACAUCCACAUCCACUGAUGUAUAGUUCAAAUUGAAAGGAGAUUCCAGGAGCAAUCUAAUUGAUUGAGGCGUCCCUUGGGUACAGUAGCCACGCCUUUACUUCCCAAAGAAUUUAGAGAGGCGAACUGGGCCUUCUGCCUCACUAUCACCGCCGGUGUGCUUGGACCUUGACCGCUGCUUCUUUUCCUUCUUUGUUCUCUUCGAUCUUGACCGUGAUCUGGACUUCCUUGAACCUCUGUCCUCGUCGUCGCUGCUUGAUGGUUCUGAUGACGAGUCCUUCUUUGUUCUCUUUGAUCUCGACCGUGAUCUGGACUUCCUUGAACCUCUGUCCUCAUCAUCGCUGCUUGACGAUUCUGAUGAUGAGCUGGAACUAAACUCCGAAGAACUUCUGUGCUGUUAAAAAUGUAAAUGUGAGUAUAUCAAACAAAUUUAUCUCCUUGCUGUAAGCAAAUGUACUCAUAAGAUUCAUUUUAGUAGUACAAUCUUUUUGUCUUUUUAUUGGGUUAGGACAACCCUUCUAGGGAGUAAUAUCCCAACUUUGCAUGUUUAUAUUAGGUGAAAUCCUAACAAUGAUAUCCAUAAGAGCAGAUCAGAAGUUGAGGCUACCUUUCUCCUCUUCUUACUUCUUUUCUUUGCAUCCUUAUCCUUUCUCUCUGUUUUCAGAAUUCUUUGUCAGAAGAUCCAUUCAACAUAUGAAAUAAAUUUAAGAAACGGGGAGCAAUGGAAUUAUUCAGAGUCUAGUGCAUAAGACUGCAGGAAACAUCAUCUGGCAGGUUGCCCAUUUACCUUUCUUGGAAGAAAAUGAUUUUGAGUCUGACUUAGAGUGAUUUCUUCCAUGUGCUAGCUUCUGAGCUCUUUCUGCAUCCAGUUGAGCUCUGUACUCUCUCAUCAUUUUAUCUUUGUCAGCCUCCAGCUCACCCCUUUUCAGUUCAUCUUCCUAAAAGGGAUGAAUAUCAUGAAUAACUACAGAAGUACUGAUAAAAACCUUUGAUGAUUAUGGUACAGUCUUGAAGUAACUACACAUGUUUUGUCAAUAUUAGCAGGCGCCAUAUGUUUAGUGGCACCUAAUGCAGAAAACCUGACAAUUGCUGAAAAGGCCUUGAUUGGUCUCUUUUGGAAUUAUCAUAAGGUUUGUUUAUGUAAACUGGCCAAGAAUUACAAUCAAUUCGAAAUUUGCAUUAUCCAAGCCAAUUCUACAUGUCAAUCAAGGAAAAUAGAGUGCUAAAUAGUAUGAUAGAGCACCGUCGAUUCGAGCACAUGGUGCUCAAAACUAGCAUUAACUUUGUAUGACGGUGUCUAACAAUGGAGAACUGGAAGUCUGCAAACUAAAAGAGAGGGGACUAAAGAGUGAAUGGCACAGGAGCGAGCAUGUACUAGACUGCCAAUGCAAAGUUCAGGUUAGUCUCCAACAGCACAAAGGCAAUAUAUGUUUUCAAGCUUACAUGAGGAAAUCAGGAUCAUCAACACAAGACAAAGAUAAUUCAGUACUGUGGGAGCAUGUCGAAACAGUUACUAUUGGGAGUACAAGAACGUAAGCCUGCUCUAAACAUGCAAGCAAGAGACGAACUUAAGCUAAUGCAAAGGAAGUGAGUGGGUGCGCCACCGUACCUUCUGCUUCUUCUUGAACUCCUCCCAGGUGACGGUGUGCGUCUUGUUGAGGCUGGCCAGGCGCGCCGCAUGCCACUCUGGAGAAUGAAAUGAACCGUCCGUCUGCGACGGCCCUCGUUAGACAAAGUUCUCUCUUUUUUUUUCGUUGGAAGAGGGGUGGGUGGGGUGGGUGGAGGGUUAACAAAAAUUCCUCAACAGAUACUAUUUACUCUUAUCACAUAUCAGCAUACUAAUAGCGCCGUGGAAAUCAUCAGAUCAAUCUGGAGCUUGGAAGGGCAGGGGGUAAUCAGAGAUCUGGUAGGGGGAGGGAAGGGGGGGCAGGGGAGGAAGGGGACCGACCAUGCCGUCUUCGGGGGCGUCCGCGGCGCCGGGCGCGCCGGAGGAGGAGCCCAGCCGCGACCGCUGCAUCGCCUUGUACGCCUGGUUCUUCCCCAUCUCGUCUCCCUCGCCGCCGAGCCCGGAUUGGAAAAGGGGAGGACGGAGGAGCCUCGGCGGGGGCGGGGAGUGGAGAUCCCUUUCUCUCUGGAGAGUCUGGCCUGGUGGCACGCGCCUGCCGUGAGUUAUGACUCUGGAUGGUGAUAAGGUGACCGAGAGGCGCACAGGGAGAAAGGGGGCUAUCUUUUUUUCUGGGCUGCUGGUUUAAUCUGAGCCGCUGGUUCUGCGAUCCGACGGUCCGCAGUGGUGCAGGGAAGAAUGCAACCUAUGCUACCGCACAAUUGUUUUAUGUGACUUCGACAUUUUUUAAAAAACCCUCGUUUUUUGUUAAAAAAACUGCCUCUCAUAAGGAUUGUGAUGAAUACUCGCGGCGGUAGACGAGAGUGCGUAUGAACGGAUAUGGAGUUUGAACAUAUGAUACUUUCACAAGGAUUAACACACUCGACCAAGACGAGCGUGUUCUUCCGUCCUUAUUUCAUCGUGUCCAUGUGCAUGCCAAUCACCAUUAACAACAAACUUACAAACUGAGACUGCAAAAUUAAUCCAUUCUCAUUCAAAAAGCAAUAAAGUUAAGCUUAUUCAGUGCAUAUACUUUUAUUCAUAUUACAGAGAAAAAGAUCGGACCGCUCCACUAGCUUAUUCCCAUUUCCAGGGCAACUGUUCUAAAUUUCAGUUGCCAUUUUACCUCGGUUUUAAACUUCACCUGGUGAUCGGCAGCACCGGUGCUAACUGUGAAUGUAUGUUAAUAUAAAAAAACUGUAUGGAUGUAAUGCCAGACAGUAACAGCAAGCUAUGCUACUGGACAAAACUUUCUCCGCAGCAGCCAGUCGGAACAAAAAGAAUGACCGUCCUGCCUUUUGAUCUACGAAUGGAACCACGAGCAGAUGAGCUCACUGGGUUAAGUUCCCUCGAAAUGAGUGGACCGCUGAGUUCUAACAGCCAAGAAUGUGACUGCUGUUCACAUCAUCGUGGCGCUUCUUCAUGAUCAUUGUUUUCCUCUGUUUGUGAUGCCAGCUUCACAAUGUCUUCCACAAGGAUAUUCCCCUCUGUAAGGCAUAAAACAUAAAGGCUUAGCGACAUAGCAGAAGUAGAAGAUAUGCCGUAUGUUUUUCACUAAUACGAUAGACAGUAGUGUUGAAUGUAAGCACCGUUGUCUUUGGAAAGAUUGCUGAUAAGCUCUUGGACACCCUCCGUCCCUAUGGUGUCUUUGAGAUAAUUUGCUGCUGCUGCUACCUCUUCAGGAGUCACUUUGCCAUCGCGGUCCCUGCAAAGAAAUCAACAUAUUGAUGGCCUUGAAAUCAAUUUGUGCACAGUGUUGGCAUAUGGCGCAGUUCUCUGUUGGUGUGUGCAACCCACUAUGUGGUCCAAAAUAAAGGCAUGCGCAAUGAGCCUACCUAUCCAGCAGCUGCCAGCGAUUGCCAAUUCGAGCAUCAACAUCAUCAAUCUCCUUUUCUAACUUUUGAAGCAUAGCAUCAACCUGAAAUGCAGGAAAAAUAAAGUCGUCACAUGGAUAGGCUUACUACUCAACCAGUAUAAAACUUCUGAAGCAUAACACAAGAAUCAGGAUGGUGUGUGCGCACAUUUUUCAGCAUAUAACUUGCAAACAAAUAAACAAAGUAGUCAGAACUGACUAGUGCAUACAAAUAAAGUUGACAAAGUAGUCAGCACUGACUAGUACAUAACACAUAGGGUAUCUACUUGUUUUCUAUCUGUCUAUGAAGUAAUUUGCAGCAACUACUUUAUGUUUUGUCUGGAUGCGGUGGAAGGAAUAGGCAAGGGGAUGGAGGCGUGUUCACCCUUAUGAGGAGGCUCUAAACAACCCAAUUAAGUGGACUAGAUGAUUUCCUUGCUUAAUCUCAAAUGUUCUCCCGAUCUCAUAUUGGCCCUAACAAACUCGGCUAACCUCAAGCGUCAAGCUAACAAACUCCAAUCGACUAACAACCAAGCAACUGAAUAAACCCUAAGGAUAACUAAACUGAAGCCUAAUUUGUGGACACUAGUUUCUUCUUCUUGUGUGAGUAUUUCUUGCCAAAAAACACGUCCACAACAAUUUGCUUCUAGAAAGAAGUCCAUUUGUGUUUAUUACAUUCCUCUAAUCAUAUCAGAACAAUGGGCGUGAUUGAUUACAGCUAUCUGGUGACAAAUUUCUACAGUUCUACAUAUCUGAAAAGUUUAUUACCAUUUAUACGCUAAUAAUUAGAGCUCACAACUACCAUAUGAAAAAUUCUACAAAUAAGCCAACACUCCAUGUGCUUUCAAGCUGUUCUGGUCACUGAUUAACUGAUAUAAGUAUUUACAGUUAUUAAUAAAUAUUUCUCUUGAAGAUAAAUGCUGUUUCCUAGUAUAAGUUUUAGCUGGGAUGUAUCAACUUGUGAAGAUUUAGAUGAAGAAAAGAACUCCUUACCCUAUCUAUCAAUGCUGAAGAGACCUUUUCCCCUACUGCUGCUUCUGCAGCAUGGUCUGAUUCCUCCCUAGCAGCCCUGUAUGCUCUCCUGGCUUCUUCUUCACCAUCUGUACCCUCCUUUGCAAGCAUGUUGUUAUAUAGUUCUAUCUGUAUUUCAAAUGAGUGUGGUCCAACAUUAACUUAUGCAAACAGACAGUGCAUAAAUGUUCAGUGCAACACCAAAUCAUACCUCCUUGUUCACAAGGCUUAAAAACUCCUGGCGCUCCUUGGUAACAGACUGCAAGAUAGGAGAAGGUAGAGUUUAUGUUGACAAUUUUUUUUCUCAAAAUACAGGAUUGGAAUAGUAACAAAGAAAGUGUCUUGAUCAUACUGAAGCAGAUGCAAGCACAGCCAAUGCUUGACUGAUAUUACAAAGCUGCUCUUUCUUGUCAUGCAUUUUUGCUUUCUUUAGUUCCUCUUCCUCCCUAGCAGUAGGUUCGGUCAUUUCCUUCAGAGCCAAAUCUUCUUCAAUAGCCUUUGGCUCCUCCAGUUUUGCCUUCUCUUCUUUCUCUUUCUUUUUCUCCUCUUCCUGAUUAUUAUUCAAUAUGCAAAAGCAUCAGUAACAAUUUAUUGUCGACAAAAUGACAUUGAAUUAUCCCAUGGUGGGAUUCAGAAAAGUUGUAUAACUAUGCUGAUUCUUCAGCCAAAGAGUAUACAUAGAAGGAUAGGUGACUAGCGUAUUAAACUGGACAGCUGAAUUGCAUAAAGAAAAAAAUAAAAAAUGAAAUAUACAACUUCAAGUUGGGGAAGUAAUUACAAGGUGAACAAAAUUUAUUUCACUACUAAACGAUACGACUAAGAAUUUAUGCAACUUUUAAAUGGAUGUAACAGUGGCAAGAUACGUGAACUCAUGCUAAACCUUAAUUCAAGAUAUGUUUUAUUUCACUUGAAAAGCACUUUCAAACAAAAAACA